rnacentral:lncRNA from 1 species
ACAUCUCCAGAAGAAGCUCCUUUCAAAAAUAGUUAAAUUUGACGGUCAGAUAGAAGAUGUUAGUGAGGGAAUACCAAUUAUAAAGGAAAGACUAUCUAGAAAGAAGAUUCUUUUGAUUCUUGACGAUGUUGACAAACUGGAGCAGCUAGACGCUUUGGCUGGAGGACUUGAUUGGUUCGGUCUUGGAAGCAGAGUCAUCAUUACCACUCGUGAUAAACGCUUACUAGCCUAUCAUGUGAAUACAAGUACACAUGCAGUAGAAGGGUUGAAUGAGACAGAAGCUCUUGAAUUAUUGAGCCGAAAUGCUUUUAAAAAUGACAAAGUUCCUUCAAGUUAUGAAGAUAUUUUAAACCGUGUAGUUACUUAUGCAUCUGGCCUUCCGUUAGCUAUAGUAACAAUAGGGGCCAAUUUGAUUGGAAGGAAGGUAGAAGAUUGGGAGCGUAUAUUAGACGAGUAUGAAAAUAUUCCCGAUAAAGAUAUCCAAAGGAUACUUCAAGUAAGCUAUGAUGCUUUGAAGGAAAAGGAUCAGAGUGUCUUUCUAGACAUUGCUUGUUGCUUCAAAGGGUGUAAAUGGACAAAGGUUAAAAAAAUACUUCAUGCUCAUUAUGGCCAUCCCAUAGAACAUCAUGUUGGAGUGUUGGCUGAAAAAUCUCUCAUAGGCCAUUGGGAAUAUGACACUCAUGUGACCUUACAUGACUUGAUAGAGGACAUGGGUAAAGAAGUCGUCCGACAAGAAUCUCCCAAGAAGCCUGGAGAACGCAGUAGGUUGUGGUUUCGCGAUGAUAUAGUUAACGUUUUAAGAGAUAAUACGGUAAAGAAAACUAAUAUUUAUGAACAAUUUGUUGUUUUAGCUUUAGCCAUGACCUUGAUCAUCCUGCCACCUCAUACUAGUGUUUUUUAUUCACUUAAUUACAUGUAUAUUACUCUAUAAUAUUUGUAUUAUGAUUUAUUCUUUUUUUAUUUUGUUAAAAGGGAACUGGGAAUAUUGAAAUGAUAUAUCUCAAAUAUGCCUUCACGGCAAGAGAAACAGAGUGGGAUGGAAUGGCUUGCGAGAAGAUGACAAAUCUCAAAACACUUAUCAUUAAAGAUGGUAACUUUUCAAGGGGUCCUGGGUAUCUUCCAAGUAGUUUGAGAUAUUGGAAAUGGAUAAGUAGUCCUUUGAAGUCUCUAUCUUGUAUUUCGAGCAAGGCAAGUGAAAUAGGUUCAUUUUUCAAUUGUGUAUAUUGAUAAUUCACUAUUAGAUUAUAAUUUUCAUUUCAACUUAUUUAAUUUGUUUUUUUAUGAAGGAGUUCAACUAUAUGAAAGUUAUGACAUUGGACGGUUCUCAAUAUUUAACCCAUAUACCCGAUGUCUCAGGUCUUCCAAAUCUAGAAAAGUGCUCCUUUCGAGGAUGUGAUAGUUUAAUUAAAAUUCACAGUUCGAUUGGACAUCUAAAUAAACUUGAAAUCUUAGAUACAUUUGGUUGCAGCGAACUUGAGCAUUUCCCACCCUUACAGCUGCCCUCUCUUAAGAAAUUUGAAAUCACUGAUUGUGUGAGUCUCAAGAAUUUUCCAGAAUUAUUAUGUGAGAUGACAAAUAUAAAAGAUAUUGAGAUAUAUGAUACUUCCAUAGAAGAAUUGCCAUAUUCAUUUCAAAAUUUCAGUAAACUUCAACGGUUAACAAUAUCUGGAGGCAACCUACAGGGAAAGCUCAGGUUCCCAAAAUAUAAUGAUAAAAUGAAUUCAAUAGUGAUUUCAAAUGUGGAACAUCUUAACCUCGCAGGCAACAGCCUCUCAGAUGAAUGUCUCCCAAUACUUCUCAAGUGGUUUGUUAAUGUGACAUUUCUAGAUUUAUCCUGUAACUACAAUUUCACAAUUCUUCCCGAGUGCCUUGGUGAAUGUCACUGUCUUAUGCAUCUUAAUUUGAUGUUUUGCUUGGCUCUUGUGGAAAUUAGAGGGAUUCCACCAAAUCUUGAAAUUCUUUUUGCAGUCAUUUGUUAUUCAUUGAGUUCCUCAAGUAUAAGAAUGUUAAUGAGUCAGGUUUGUUGUUUUUUUAUUGCACUAGUAUUUGACAUAUAGUAUUUCAGUUCAUAGUGUAAUUAUUAUUCUUUUUAUAUAAAUUAACAGAAACUACAUGAGUCUGGAUGCACCCAUAUUCUAUUCCCAAACACAACGGAUAGGAUUCCUGAUUGGUUUGAGCACCAAAGCAGGGGAGACACAAUUUCUUUCUGGUUUGAUAAAGAACUCCCUUCUAUUAGCUUUACUUUUAUUCUUAUUAGUCAGGGGGACUACAUGUUACCAAUAGUCAAAUUCUUUGUGAAUGGCUAUGAAAAAGAGAUAAGUUGCGACGAAUUGACUAGGGAAUUCGGUGAGCUAGUGGAUGAUGACACUGUGUUGGAGAACCAUACAACUUUGUUGCAUAUAAAAUUGGAACAAGAUAAUGAACUCGGUGAAAGACUUUUGAAAAAUGAAUGGAUCCAUGUGGAGUUUAAGUUACAGGAUUAUUAUUGGCACGCUGAGAGAAGAUUAUUCAGAAAUACGCAAAUGGGAAUCCACGUGUGGAAGGAGAAAAGCAACAUGGAGGGGGGUGUGAGAUUCAUUGAUCCUUCAUUAUCACAAUUUAUGCAAAGAUUGGUGGAAGUGGGAGUUUCAGAGAAAGGGGAGGAGGAGGAGGGUUUUAGUGACACGGAGGAGGAUGUAAUAUUGAAGAAUCCUAAUAAUAGAAAGACUUGGGGUACAUUCCUUAGUCUAGGUGCAUCAAAAAGCAACACGGAUGGGGAUGAGAUUGAAAUAUUAAGCAGUGCACAAGAUGAAAGAAAGAUGUGGGGUACAUUCCUCGGUUUAGGUCCAUCAUAAAGUUAACCGUCUUCUUGUUAUUCUCUCAAUCUCAACAUUGCAGGUUUGUGCUUUGAUGUUUAUACUUUGUAUAAAUGUUGAUUAAUUUCUGUAUGUAGUCAGUUACAAAUUCAAUGUUUCUAGUUGGAGAAGUUUCUUAAACCAUGAGACAUGAUGUAAGUUUCUGUGUGUCUAACACCGAUACAUGUAAUACUAUUAAACUAUAUUAUUAUCUCAAAGGACUACCAAUGUCAACGAAUCAGUGUCGGUGUCUAGUUCGGUAUCCAUGACUGUGCUGAUGCUUCAAAAUGUCGAAAUGAAAGUUCUGAGUUUGCAAGUGCUUAAAGGUCAACAAGUAGAUUGUCUUACCGUAACUAUACACAUUUCGUAAACUUGUAUUGAUCUCAUUAAUUAUGAUUCAAAUUAGAACUUUUAUCUCAUAUCUCAUCUAACUAAUGGCACAUGUUUUCAGUGUAACCUAUAAAUGUAUGGAUAAUUUAAGUAGUACAUGCAUUUUUAACUUUUUUGAUGAAAUUUAACGUGACUGCAAUUGAAACAUGAUACACAAUUGAUCAAAAUUCCACUAGCUUAUAAGCCCGCACGAGUUUUACAAUGAGCUAAAUGGUUUGUCGAAUAAUCAAUAUCGAUCUUAUCUGUUGCAGCAUAACUCUAUUGUGUUACCCAUCACAUCUAUUUGAAUGCUUGUUACCUUCAGAGAGGAGAAGCCAUAGCUAUCAAAUUGAAUUUUUAUUUAGCUAUUACAUAAGGAUGAUUCAGAGGCAUCAGAAUCCAUCUCUCGCGGCCUUCAGCUACAACCCUUUAGUCCAGAAAUUUUAGAAGGUGUGGUGUAAUUGAACGGAUCCAAGAUUAAUGUUGUUACAAGUAUGAUUCUUAUAUUUUUAAAGAAUAAAUGCUUUUAAUCAUAAUCUGAAAAAGAAAUUGAUUAUUAUGCCAAAGUAAUAUAUUUCUACAUUUGUCAGGAAACCAUUUGCAACUGCCUUUCUUUUUGCAUUGUCAUACGAGAUGUCUAGAGGUGGUGGUUCACACCACAAAAUUCGUUCAAAAGGGAAUCAGGUAAUCAUAUGCUUUGCAGCUCAGUUGUACUUUGGUGUUUCCACAUUGGGUAUGAAUUGAUCAUUUCACAUAAUCCUUCUACAGCUCGACAUAUUUCAUUUCGUUCUAACCAUGCCUUCCGCUGGUGAGGACUUAUGUUUAGAUUAUUUCUGUAAUGAUCAUGAAAUGUCCCUUCUCCCCAAAAAUGCGGCAAAAACAGUCGCUAUUUUGUGUUCUGACAUAGAUAUUUGGUAGAACUAAAGAUGGAACGGGAAGACUUGUUCUAUACUAAAAAAUUUAUAAUGAAAUGUGUCUACUGUUUAUUUUCUAGCUAUGUUCUAAGUUGUUGUUGAUUUAUUUAUGUAAAUGUGCAUACCAGGUCGAAACGACUAUGAAGUGCUGAGUUUCUCAAACUAAACUCUCCUUACUGGGGAAGGAGCUUUCAGGUCUGCAAGAAAUUAUGUGGGAUAAAGAAAUAAAUCCGAGAACCGACAUUCAUGAGAUCCUUUUGCAAGAGUCGUGACUUUUGUUCUCCAAAAUCCAAAUCAGCGUUCUUGGUGUAGUACUCAAUGUACAACUCUGGUUUUGAUAUGGUGAGACCUGAUGUAAUUUUUUAUGGAGGAUGUUUGUGCUGCAUAUAUUGUUUGAAUUCGAUUAUUUCAUUACUGUACAUUUAGAUGCAUGCAUUAGAUUAUAGAAUGAACACCAUUUUAGAAGUACAUGUAAAUUAUGGAGGCCAACCUUGGAUAAUGUAUAUUUGAAUGUUUUAUCUAAAUGUGUUCUGAAAAAGCCAAUAUCAGGAACUUUGAUCUUGCUAACUUUUGUUGUUCAAUGAUUGUUAUUGCACCAAUAUUUCUUAUGCUAAACUGACAGAAACUAUAUUUCUUAUGCUAACUUACAUGAGGAUAGAUGCACCAAUAUUUGUUUUCCAACAGGAACAGAGGGGAUUCCAGAUUGGUUAAAGCACCAAAUCACGGGACACAAUUUUUUUCUGGUUUCGUAAAUAAAUCCCUUCUAUAACUAGUAUUAUUAUUCCCUUUCUGGAUCCGUCCGAUUCAAAUGAGAAAGUAGUCAAUUUGUCUGUCAAAGGCUAUGAAAAAGUAGUCUGGAUUAAAUGAUGUGAUCUGAAGCUGUCACUAGCAGAGUGCAGUAACAGUAAACUAUGGCCAACACUGCAGAGUGCAGUGUGGCAUGACUAGAAGAGAGAGGAGUCAAGGAAAAGUUAUUUCUGUUAUUCACUCGGAACCAUUAGUACUUUCAAAAUUCUACAGAUCUAAAAUAUAAGCCAGACCAUAUGCAUUAUACAGAAUAGAACUCUCAUUUUAUCGGAUGAAAUUUUUCGGUAUCCACAUAUGAUGCAUGUCCUGAGCAAACCUGCAUUCUUUUUUUUUUUUAAUGCAAAAUAAUCACUAACAUAUCCACUUGUUGAUUUGUUGCAAAUAGCUUAAAGUGGUUCUGUAAUAAAGUGAUUUAUCGUCACAUAAACAAGUGACUUAGAAGUGUUUCCUUUGAAUACUCGUGCUGCUGCAUAAUGAUUCUAAUUUUACCAAGCUUAAGUGUUUUAGACCUGAGUUGCACACACACAACAAGCACAAGCAAGUCACUUUAUUUCUGUGUAACGAGUAACUAAGCAGGUCAUGAAGUUGUUACGAGGAACACAACUUAGAUUUUAGAUCUUGAAUACUUGUAAGAGGCAUGAUUCUAUUUGCUGCACAGUUGCUGAUUGUGUAGUUUUAGAUGUGGAUUUUAUCUUGAAUUUUGGUUUAAAGUGUUUAUAGAAUAUUACAAAUACAAACUUCAUAGCCACUGUAUCAAUAAUUAGUAAUCUUUUUGGUGGGAGUGAUCUGGUAAAUUUUGAUACAACAACUUUGAUAGCCUUUGUAUCAGUAAUUAGUAACGAUGUAACAGAGAAAUUUUUGGCUAUUCUCGAAAUGAGCAGAGACAGCAAUCUAAGGGAAACUUUGACUUUGUGAUCGCUUAAGUGAGUUAUCAUUUUUUUUCUUUGCCACCUGCUAUGUGUUUUUUGAACUUUUGCAUAUUCUUGUCCUUCCUAUGAAUCAACUUUAAUAACCUAAAGUUAUAUGGUGUUUUAGUUAACUAUGAAAAUUGAAUAUUUGCAUUGUAUGUAGUGUUUAUAAUCUAUUCUGGUUUUUAUCUGAGUCAAAUGAAUUGACAAAAGCUUUCCUCAAUUUUUUUCGCUAGAUCAGGCCUGAACUUCAAUAUCCAAUCCAUCUGGAAUUUGGUAGAGUCCUAUGUGGGAAGAAUGGCAUAAUUAUCUUUCAGAAUGUAAGCUGGUACUGAUGCUUGGAUCGAUGUCCCUCUCUACUACUGAACAUAGACCAAGGGCCUUAACUGGCAAUUAGUUACACACAUUCAUGGAAACAAGGGUUGAAGCAUUCGCUCGCAAGCAACUCAGGUAAUAGAAUUUAAUUUUUAAUUAAAUGGGUUUGCCAUGAUCAUUCAUCAAAAUUCAAUUGCAUAAAGAUAUAAGCAAAUAUAUUCAAUUGCAUAAUUCUUUUACACAUUAUAAAAGAAGACAAACUAUGCAGUGGGGUCACUAUCACCGUAGUUUUUGGUUGAAGUCAUAUGUUGUUUACUUGUUGGUUUUUCAAGUUCUGACAUGAUAUUAUUUUUCUUCCCAUUUCCAGCUGAACUACUUUACGUGCUUCAAUUUUUUUCAAUCACUGCUAAAUUUUAGUGGAUAAGAAACAAAUGAAUCUAAAAAAUUUACGAUCAACCAAAUUCUGUUUGGAGGUGAAUGUUUCUUCAUAAUCUAACUUUGUAAAUGAAUUUUAAGUGAUUUGAAAACAUGGAAUAAGGUCUUCAAUAAAUAAAUAUGUAUCAGGUGCUUUUGGUUCAGUUUUAGACUUUUAGAUGGUAGGGAUCGUGCUUUUGGUUUGAUUUACAAUUAUUGUUUCUUGUACUGCUAUUGUGUAGGUCAGUGUUUUGUACUUUUUUUUUUGUUCCUUAUCUAAGUUUCUAUGGUCGGUCUUUUCGACUAUAAUGGAAUAAUACAUGUUAUGCUACUGCAAUGUAGUUAUUGCUUCUAGCAUGGCAUUUACUAGGCUGAUUUGGUCUUUUCGAACUCAUCCAAGGACUGCAGGAUUUGGAGGACUUGAUCGGAAUUAUGACAAAGCUUUUCAAUUUGGAUUUUAUGGAAGUAUAGGUUGGUCAAAUAUCCUUCAUGCAGAAAUUCAGGAUCUCCUUGUUGGUCUCAAGUUGUGGUGGAAAGCCCGGAAGUUUAUAUGCUAUUAUGAUUCUCUUCACGUGGUGCAGUUAGGUUCAAUGAACACUCAUCACUUUCACCAUUAUGCCAAUAUGUUGGAGAUUUAUCAGAGCUUACAUGAAGAAAGAUUGGAAUUUUUCUCUCCAUCAGACUUUUCCCGAGGGCAAUGCUUGAGCAGAUAUUCUAGCGAAAUUGGGAGUUAGUUGUAUAGAUACCUUGGUUACGGUCUACAUGCUGCCGCAGUUCUUCUCCUCGGCUUUGUUAGUUAAAAUUGUUGGAAUGUCCUUUAUUAGGACUUAGUAACCAAAAAGAAAAGGUUGAUGGAAAAACUUAAAUGGAUUUGUUGAAACCACCACAACCCUUUAUGUUGAUACCUUGCAUUCUCAUGUUACUAUGCCUCCAUUCCCCGAGUAAUACAGUGACUUCAAUCAAAUCCCAUAUAUAUAUUUUAAUCUUAUGGUCUCCUUUUUAAUAUGAUUGUCAAAUAAGAGGUUAAUGCAGAAAGUGAAUAUAGUUAGUUUGUGGUUCUAAUUGUGUUUUACCUCUUUAUAUCAAAUUGGUGCAAUUUUUACUUUCUAUGCUUUGGUUAGAUGUUAAUUAAUAUAUUUAUUUUGCCUCUUCAAAACAAACAAAAUCUAGAAAAGAGAAUUGUAAUGAAACAUUUUACCUCUAAGCAUUAUGUCCAAAAAGUGUUACAAACUUGAAUCAAAAAAGAAAAUAUUUUACAAUCAAACUACAAUUCAUUAUGUAUCAAUUUUACAAACCAAGUAAUGAGAUGGAGGGAGAGGAGAGUCCCUGCAACCAUAGGCGACCACAUCAGUGUCAUCAUCCACUACUGUCGGUGCUUGAGUUCCACUGUGUCUCCAUCAUAUUUGUGAGAGUUAACUUAAAAUCAGAAUUCUGGAGAAUCGUGCCACGAUGGAGAAGCUUCGUGCCACGAUUGUUGAAGCAAAAUUCUGGAGCAAUCACUGGAAAAAUCGUGCCACGAUUGAAUCGCAUCGUGGCACGAUGGUGCGAUUGAAGAUAAAAAUAAAACGUAUUUUUAUUGAAGAUUUGUUUCAGUUUUUUAAGGGAUUACUUUCACUAUAAAUAUAGACCUUGUAUCACAGUAUUUCUUGGAGAGAGAUAGAGGGGGCUGAAACAAGGGUUUAGAAUGGCAACAACAAAACUAGAGUUUGUAUAGAGUUUGUCUCUUUGGAAACACUAGGGUUUGAGGGUUGAUUCACCUUGGGAAACACUAUUAGGAUUGAGUCUCUUGGUUACGGGAAGAGGCUGGGACUUUGGGUAGAAUUAGGCGGGAGACUUAUUCUUGUAACCCAUUGACUUCUCUUUGUAACGUUACUCGUUAUAUAGUGGAUCGGAGGGCUGCUCUCUCCCCAGACUAGGUCAAUUUGGACCGAACUGGGUCAACAAAUUAUUUUGUGUUCUCUAUUCUUUUGUUCUUCUUGCUGUUGUUUUCUACUUUUGGCAUGUGAUUAUAACUGUUCCAUACGCUUUGAUUUUGGUUGCUUGACUAUCCCUUGCUCCACACAUCAAGUUGUUAUUGGUGUGAUUUUUCUCAUCGAAUUCACAACAAUAUUGUGUCGUUCAGUCAUCGCCGAUGUAAGAGAAACCAGGUGGUCGUUUUGUCGCCGGUAGUCCGCUGCUGCUAUUUUUCCCUCUCCUGAUUUCUCCCUUCCCCUCUCAUGUCUCACAUAUAAUCUUCCUCCAUCUCUUUUUCUGUCUGAUUGUUCGCAUAACAAUGCAACAAAACAUGAGAGUUGGCAAGAGUAUAAUCCAUGCAGCCAGAAUGAGAACAAUGCUGCUAUAACAUGUUAAAGUUACCAAACAUGUCAUAAGAAUUGGAACCAAUAAAUGUCAUGCUUAAUAUCAUUGAUAGCAGUGUGUUUUACAUCAACAAAAAAAAAAAAAAUGAACUCUCACAUAGAAGGCUGUGUGAUAUUGUGAAGUCCACUUGUAUGUAACUUGUCAUUGCUCAAUGAACAGAGCUUUGAGCGAUAAUUGUGUAGUACACAUUGUCACAAGCAUUACUUGGAACAAUUAGGAUCAUAUAUGUUGGAUCUAUAAUACAGAAAAAAGAAGGCAACUUUCUGAGAGUGUGUGUGCACGUGCGCACUUGUCGUGGAAGAUCAAAUUGAUAAUUAUAAGCGGCAGAAAUAUCUUCAUAAACAUUUAUCAGAUAAGAGAAAAUUGGGAAGGAACAAACACAUCAUAUUCGGUAAUGGCUACUUUUGAGCACUUGUACGAAAUUCAAAAUAACUAUCCGACAUUCAUAAGUGAUGUUACAUUGAACUUAAGCUACUUAUGAAAUGGCAUUCUCAAGACCUAAGGGAUGGCAAUGCAUCUUUGAACUUUUUCAGAAGGAGAAAACAAUUGGAAACAUUUUAAAAUCAAGCAAAACAGAAAACCAACAUUCUGUCACAAUCCUAGACAAUUUUAUCAUAAAAGACAAGUAGUGCUAGUGAUGCAGGCGAUAGUAUUUCAUCCGGUAAUCAUAGGAUAAAUGAGCAUUUCUGUAACACUCAGACGGAACAAAGAAAUCAAGAAGAUGAUGCAGUCGAAGAUCAUACUGAAGAGCACAAAGCAUAUACAACAAAUAGAACAAAAAAACACAGUCAAUAAAGAUUUGGUAUCAGCUGAUUAACUGUAUCGCUAUGAAAAACAAAUUGUAUGAACACUGUAAGGACUUAGUUAAGAAUCCAAAUUCAUUCAAAAGAAAUUGAAGCUUCUAUAGGUUCAUCCUCAACUUUGCCAACUUAAAAUGAAAUUUAUGUGAGAGAUAUAUGAAUACAAAAGAUAUUCGAAGAGAAUGUUCUUAAAUCACCAUAACUUAUAACUUGAUAAAUAAAAAAGAGAGAUGUGACAUAUUGUUAUUUUGUGUUUUGCUAACCAUGUUUGUUUGUGAUUUUAUUUUAGUGUUUUAUUAUGCAGGGUGUCAUGCAGGAAGCGCGGUGGCAUCCAAUUCACAUCUAACUUAGUGCUGAUCAACAACGUUGCAGUGCAGUGGAUAUUGUAAAGACUUAUGUGAAGGGAUCAACAACCGGGUGGAAGCCAAUGAGCAGAAACUGUCUUGGCCGGUGAGUCAAUGUCAGUCUUUCAAAGUUACUAAUAGUGAAUGUCACAAAUCUAUGUUGGUUAAACAACUUCAGAACGAAAAAAUGUUGAGAAUUGUUGCAAUACCAAGAACACUAUCUGGAACACUAAAUCAGACAAAACCAUGUUCAUAAUUUACAGUUUACCCUCUUACAUAAGUUACUAAAACACUAUCUGGUGUUUCUACCAAAACUAAUUUACAGAUUAUAAAGUUUUCCAUAUAUAAAUUAUUUCUACUUAAAGCUAGAGGUCAUUCGGUAAAGGCAAAAGGUCAUUCAUUUUAUUGAUAUAGAAACCAGAUAUGUUUGCGAAUAAAACGAGUAAGAUUCAAACUAAAAAUGCAAAAGCAAGAUCAAGUAGUUUCUUAGUAUACUUGACAAUCAUAUACUUCUUUGUGAAAAGUAAGAAAAAUUUGCCUUACUUCAAUAUUUGUACGGUAGUUUAUUUUAUCUCUUAUCUCAAUAUUUGUGUGUAAGCUGCAUUUUCCAAAGGCUUUCUUAGUUAUGUUAUUUGAUGAAAAAAAUUAUAGGGACUAAAACUUGAAAUUUAAAAUUUUUAUAGGAAUAAAAAAAAUACAUUUAACAUUUUUUUUAAACAUAAGUUCUGGUAAUAUUUGCACAUUGACUACUUGAGUUCUCAAGAUGCCGCUGGUUGAAUAGAAGACUGCAGCUGGUUGCUGCAACUGGGUGUAACACUCCUAUUUCUAUUUAAGCAAUUAAACAUGCGAAUAAUACAUUUAUUUAAGAAAUAGAGAUUACGUCUUAUUCAAAAUUCAAAAACCGAUAGACAUAUAUAUGAACUUCAACAGUCGUAGCGGAAUAUAAAUCAGAGUGAUCAAAUAUAUACAUGCCAUGAGCAAAUAAAUCAUGUUUCAAGGAUAAAUCUCAAAACCCAAACAUACGGUAGUCAUCAACAAAAUCAUAAUCCAACAGAAAAUAUAAACAACCUAAUCUAGACCGACACGACAAGCCUAGAUCAGAGCCGACACGACCCGAUAUCGGAGAAAGCUCCCGAUAUCCCACGCAAAGACUCACCGAGCACUACUCCUGCACAACGUCUACUCACCCAUACAGGCAAGUAGGCUGUUAAAACCACUGAGGGUAAGCAUUACAUUAUCAUAAUCCAGAUAAAUAUCAAUCAAAUAAUAUCAUGUACUUGAAUAAUAUUAGUCAUGCAUAAAUACUUACAUCACAACUCGAUAUCUAAUAUCAACAUACAUCAAUCACAUAAAUAAUUACCCAACCAUAAAUAUUCAUUCACAACACCAAUCAUUAUCAACAUACAUCAAUCACAUGAAUAAUUACCCAACCAUAAAUAUUCAUUCACAACACCAAUCAUUGAACAAUCAUUAUCAACAUUCAUUCAUUUCGUUUCAUCACCAAUCACAUAUUUCACAUAGGACUCAUGUUAUGAUAUGCACUUAUGGACGCAUAAAUGCAUGUGGUACCAAAUCUCAACAAGGUCGUCACCUUUCGAUGCCACUUGCACAUCGAAUGUAAGGGCUCACACCUGCCUUACAAUAAUCUCGAAGUAAAAGAGUCAUCCCUUUUACAGCAACAACGACUAUGAUGCAUGGACAUGUGUAAUGACUCGAUAAUGCAACAACAAUUCUCAAUCUCAACUCAAUAUAUAGGACAACACCCAAUUAUAUUGAUUAUCUCCACAACAUUGCAUUACCAAGAAAGCAUGCCCACACACAAUUAAAUCAUAGUAUUCAUCAUCACACAUCAACAUAUUUAUCAAUAAUCAACAAUGUCAUCCAACAUCAAUUACAUGAUUUUCAAUAAUCAACAAACAUCACUUAUCACGUAUGAUUUUACAAUUCAAGAAUUCUCAUAUUCCAAGUAAGAUAGCAUACACUUCUCAUGAUAAUUAUCAUAUCCAAAAUACAAUCAUUCAUUCAUACAACUUCACUUAGUCAUACAAGAAUGGUCACAACAAUUCAUAAGACAAUACAACUUCAAGAUUCACUAGACCCCCUUUUCACAAGGUUAAUUCUUCCAUAAAAACAGCCCUAGAUGAUUAGGAUAAAGUCCCUAUACAUAGAAAUAAGUUUGGAAACAAUUGGAUCAAAGAAAAUUGCAUUUUUAAAGUUUCUGGUCAGGCAAAAUCGUAGUCCAAUUUUUCUCCAUCGUAGUACGAUUUUUUUCGAACUGAAACACCCAAAAAUCUGGUCAAAAUCGUAGCCCGAUGAAUAAAAUCGUAGUCCGAUUUCUGCCUGACAGACAAUAUCAGAUUUUCCAAUUUUCACGUUUUCGCAUGUAAAAACCAAACUGUUAAUCCGUUUUCGGUGCUGUUUUCCUCUACUUGUUCAUGACACUUAGCCCUAUCUUAAUAUGCAGAAAAUUUCAAGUUUCAACAUUCCCAAAUUCAUUUUCCAAAACCCUACACAACACUCAUUUUCCAAAACGGUUAACAAUUGAAUUUUCACCCGAAACUCCCGUUUUCUUCCAAAACGACUCGACUAUCAUAACUACAACCUAAAAACAGAAAUUCCAUCAAGUUUAACUCAUCCAACCACAUAGACAACUCAGUUAACAACUUUGUAUAUCAAAUUUCACUUUGUUCCUUCACUUGAACAUCUAGCACAACUUCACCAAUACAAACAACUUAUUUCAUAAAAUGGAAUACUCAUGAUAUCAUUCAAUAACAACAACAUAUCUACUUCAACAACACUUCAUUUAGACAUGAAUUCAACCAUAAUUCAACAACACAAUAUCUCAAUCCAACAAUUGAGCAAAACACAUAAGUAUUCAUUUUCACCCAACCAACAACAACAACUUAUUUCACAACAACAAUUAUGAAUCAUGCAUACCCAAACCAUGAAUUAGCAUCCAUAACAUCACUUAACAACAACAACAUCUAUUGAUCAUGAAACUUAUCACAAUUCAUCAACAACCAUGCAUAAUUCACCAAUUGAGCAUAAUUUACAAACUACCCAUUUUCAUACAUUAUGAACUUGCAAUUUCAUCAUCAACAAUUCAUUUAACAUCAAAUUAACAUAUUCAAACAUAUCUCUACAACAUAAGCACGAAUUUCAAAGAUUGGGUUCAUGAUAAUCACUUAUUCUCAUAAUCAAUUAUGCAUAGAAUCAAGAGAAAAAGAAUUAAUCAAAUGAUUAUGAUAAAGACUAACCCCCUUACCUUAGGUAAUGCUCAAUCUAAACUUAGGCUUCACUUUAGCUCCUAACCUCACUCCAAUCUUGAUUCUUCAAGCUCUCCCUCUUCUUCUCUUCUCCCACUUUCUCUCUCUACCUCUCUUUAGGAAAUAUCUUGUGAAAUGAAUGAAAUGAUAUUCUCCUAAGAUAACUCAUUAGGUUUAACUCUUAAUGGGCCUAACCUAGUUUCUAGUGGGCUUAACCCAUUUCUAUUCAAACCAAAAAUAUUUCUACACUUCAAACGAUAUUAACUCAUAACGGUAAAAACUAAUCACUACACUGAUAACUUAGUAAAAUAAGGGUUCUCACUAACUAUUAAAAUAAUUCUCACCAAAUUACCAUGUUACCCUUACCCGCCAAAUGACCAAAAUACCCUUCUAAUACGGUAAUCCAUGUAAUAAUUAAAAUAAAUCUAGCUAAAAAUCGGGCUGUUACAUUGGGGCCAUGGAUGUUCUUAUACCAGACCUUCAUUUGAUAUAUUCAAGGUCACAUUUCUCUUUGCAUCCACACUACCGUUUCUAUUUGAAAACUUGGAUAAUGAUAUAUGUCCCGGAAAAAUUACUCGCGAAAGCAUCACGACUCCCAACAGCUGAAGUUCAUUUGCGAUGGUGUCAGAAAUGUUUGCUUCAUGAUGAAUAGCACUGCCCUUUGAACUUUUAGGCAGCAUCUGACUUUGGUAAUGGUAUUAUUUUUCCAUAAAUCUCAAAGAAGCUAGAAAAGAGGCUUUAAAAUAGUCCCACGUCGACCCAACAAGUAGCAAGCUAUUGUUAAUGAAUGAUAUGGGUGUUAUAAAGAACACCUCAUUGCUCAAGUUAAAUGAUACCAGACAUGGUCUACCAGGGCUAUGAUUUUUACACAACCAAUGAUACACUCCAUCCAUAUAGACAUGGGUGUUACGAAGAAUGCGACAUUAAAUGUUGAAGAUGCAACAUGUGCCGUGCUGUGCUCACGGUGACAUUUGGUCAUACACGCUUUUCAAUUUCUAAAAGUUAUUCAAUGUCAAACAAAUUUACACAUGCAUAUAUAAGCUUAGUUCCUCGUAAACCUCUUCCGUAGAACUUUGAAAGUUAGAUUAAUCUAACAUAUAAGAAGAUCACAUCUUGAUCAUUAGGUCAAUCAAACAGACAAAAUUUGGUAAUACAUUAUUCAAGUAGACCACUGAACAAGUCAUUGAUAAUACAUUCAAACUAAAAACUGCAUAAUUAAGCAUAAUUAAAUUAAGGCCAAGUUUUCUAUUAUCAUGUCUUAUGAACAUGAGUGCUGGAAAAAAUCACAGCUCUAUAAUAAAUACUGCUUAUAAUGCAUGAGAAAUGAUAACAAUUAGCAUGCAAUCGCAGAGAAGAUGCGACGACUUAUUUCAUCAACGGAAAUUUCUUCUGAAGAAUGGCCAUCUGCUACUUGUCCAAUAAGUUUUUAUCUUUUUCAAGUCUUCAUUCUCACUCUUAUAUCAGGUAUCAUUACAGAAUUCCAUUCCAUCUCUCUGUCAUUCUGUUCAUAAAAAUUCAAGCAAACAUAUGAGAGUUAGCAAUAGUACCAUUCAUGCAGUCAGAAUGUGAUCAACAAUACUAGUAUAACAUGUUUAAGCAAGUGCAUUUCCAGAUAGCGCUCGGCCAUAACAAAAAAUAUCAUGAAUUUCAAUCUUCUAAAGUGAGAAAAUCAAGGGUUGUAAUUUUAAUACACCCGUGAUUUGUUAUGAUGUAUCUACAACAGUGGCGGAGCCAUGUGUGUACUGGGUAUGGCCAUGACCUACCCACUUAUUAUUGAAAAUACCAUAAUACCCCUGGUUAAUUUUAAUAUCACUGCCAUAUGCUAACAUCUAGCUAAGAUCCUACUUUGUGAAAUCGCAGGUACUAUUUUUACAAUUCAUAUCUUAACAUAAUUAAGGAAAAUGUCAGUGUCCAGUUAUUUAUUUAUUUUUUGGUUCUGCGUCUGUUGAAUUGGGUUUCACAGAUAACACUACUGCUGCUGUAGCUAGUGCUGCAGUUAGUGUUACUUCUGGUGUUCUGCUAGAUAUGAACAAUUAGUGUAGAGCCCAAUUGAUGUUAUGAGUCAAAGACUAAUGUCAAGGCAGUUGUAAUGGUAGUGGUGGAAAGAGUAUUUUGGAUUUUUGGUUAAUCUUUAUUUUCUGAGAAUUAUAGAAAUGGUUUUGAUGUGUUAUAGAAAAUUCUUUAUGCUUAUGGGCAAGAGAAUUCUCUAUUUCAAUAUUGACUUAUGAAGCAUAUAAUGUUGUUUGUUUGACUUCUUACUCUAUGGUUCAUAGGUUCAUAUGGGGUAGUUUUGGUUCAUGUUUGACUUCUUACAUCAUUUUGAUAAUUUUAUUUCUUUGCAAUAGAAAAAUCAAGAUGGAGAAUAAAAAAUUUCAUUCAUUUUACACGAGGAAGGCCAAUGAUAUUGAAAGAUAAGAAGACCUUAUAAUUUCUUAAUCUCAACCUGAACAAGUUUGUGAGAAUCCAAGAAUUGAAGAAAAUGAGCCUUGUCAGUUUAUAUUGAAAGGGAAAGUUAGUGUAUCUAUUAGUUCCGAGUCAGUUAUUGAUGAUUUCAAGUCACUCGGAAAACGUAAAGUGUCACUUUAAAUAUUUAAUUACUGAUUUUAUGUAUUAUGUAGUUUAAAUUUUGAAUUAUCGAUUUUUGAUUUAUUACAACAUAAAUAUGUUGUAUGUAAAUAUGAUUUAUAUAUUUUAGUUUAUUUUGAUGGUGGCCAUCCCUAAUAUUUUUGUCCGGCUCCGCCAAUGAUCUACAAUGUAUCUCUUUAAUAUGUUAAUUACUGAAAGUAAAUGUACCUUAUAAAAUAGAAGAAUAAAAACCAAUGAGUAAUACAACUACUGCAAUGAAAUGUAUCUCAGAGUAUAUGGUAUGUUAACUCCCUACAUAUCUAAGUAUAUGCAAUGAUACACACAGUAUAUUUCACCACCUAUAGUAUAUUUCGACAUUAAGCAUAGAUAAAAUUUAACAAAAAAAAAAAACAUUAAGUAUAGAUACACUAUAUUCCAGUACCACCCCUUCAAUGUUACACUAUCAUAGAUCCUCUGUUACUCAAUUGUAACUAAUAUACAAUUAAGUUCAAUUAUACAUUUCUUCUGUUACUUAGCAGAAACCCUUGCCUCUCCAUUCACCCCUUUAUUGAGUUUUAAUUCAAGUGAUAGACUUAGGAAUGAUUGGUUAGUUACUAAGUUUAAACAAACUCAGGAAGUUCCAGUGCAAGUAACUACACUAGAGUUAAUUAGUUCAGAAAGCAUAUGGCUUUAUUAUGAACCAAAGACAUCAACACGGACACUUAACAUGACACAGACAUGUUGGCACCACUAGUAUAAAGACAUUCUAGCUUCUAGGUAAACGGGUGACUCUGGAGUUAUGCAACACUUCACACUCGAGCUUGUUCUUAUCAUGUUCAUCAAUGUCAGCUUCCUAAAUACCAUAAAAAGCAAAUCCAUUGUUACCUAUGAACCACAGACAUCAACACAGACACCUACACAAACAUGUUGACACCACUAGGUUAAAGAUAUAGGACACUGACACCACUAGUUUAAAGAUAUAGGAGACUGACACCGCUAUAUGCAUUUAUUUAUUUAUUUAUAAAAUAUCAUAAUUGAGAACUAAAAUAUAUACAACAAGAAAGCUGAAAAUGUUAUAUCAAACUUAAUGUCUUUUCUUGUGUUUUAACUUGAGCUCUGAUUAGAUGAAUUUUGCAUGGCACUUCUGGUAGUUAUUGAACAUGCUGUUCUCUUGUAUGAUAGCGAAACGUAAAGAAUUUUGCUGAUUAAACCUGCUUUUGAGUAAUCCAGUUACUCUGUAUAUUCUUUAGUACAGUGAAUAUUUUUUCAUGGGAUUAUUAUGUUACUUGUAGGCGGGGUAAUACUGAUAGUUAAUACGUAUUUUCAUCAUAAUUAGAUUUAGAUUGCUACUUUCUAGACCAACUAACCUGACAGCGAAACUGUUAACUAGUUAAAUAAAGAAAGCUAAGAUCUCACAUCGUUGAAUUUAACGUGUUACAACUUACAAUAGUUCUUGGAACAGGAAUUUUAGAAUUUUUUAAACUUGGCCAUUCUAAGACGAUGGUGAUGACAAUGAUAAUCACAAACAUGCCUUAUCAGCGAUAUAUAUUUAAAAUCGUGGCCCGGAACUAUCCAUAAUUUGGAGAAUAAUUCUAAGAAAUAAAGACAAAGCUUUGAGUUUCCGGUGUAUUAGCAUAUUUUAGCAUAAAACUACUUAGACGGUGUACACAAUUUUAUUAGCAUAUUUAAAGAUAACCUAAAUAAUUUGGUCCUCUAUCUCUACUUGAAGAAUCAGCAACAAAUUUGUUAACCAAAAAAUAUUAUGCAUUAAUAUAAGCAAUGUUCAGAAUCAAAUCUAAUGUUUCAGCUUAUAUCUAGUAAAUACAGCCUCACCACCAUUUUCUCCACCGAUAUCUUUGUCUACCGCAUGUAGUCAUAUGCAAUAGACAAUCCUUUCCAUUAAUUGGUAACCUUUCCAUUAAUUUGUAAUCGGAUAGUCUGAAUCACACAUUCAAAAAAUCACCUUUAAAUAAUCUCAAAUAUCGAUAAAGAUUUGACUGUCAAUAACAGUUUUACCGUGACACACAAACCUUAUGUUUUAUUAUCAUUAUUAUAUUAUAAAAUAUAAUAGCAAGUGAUGUGAUGUGAUGAUUACACAAGUUUAGCGACUUGGGUUCAUUUAAUUUGGACCAGUUAUACUUUAGGUUGAACUUGGACCACUCAAAUGACCUACAAAUGUAGGUUUGAAACCGGUCAAAAGUUAUGAAGCACACAACAAGUGAAUCGUACCAACCUCGAAGCUAUUAUUAUUGAGAAAUGAUAUUUGUACAACCAUUUUGUGGCAAUUUUUGUACAACUUUAUCUCUCAUACUCACAUUAUAAUUUUAUUCUCUCUCUUCAUUUUUCUCUCUCCUUUAUUUUUGACCAAUAGAAAGAGAGAAAAAUGAAGUUGUCAUGGUAGUUGUCAAAAAUGGUUGUUCAAAUAACACAACUCAUUUUUUUUUUUUUGGUACAUCACUACUCAUUAUUAUUAUUAAAUUUAAAAAUAAAUAGAACGGUCUCAUAACUAUUAAAAUUUAUAAAUCAAAGAGUUAAAAUUAAAAAUUUAAAUCUUUAAAAAAAAAAAAUUAAUAAAGUCUAUGGUACAUCAUCCACAGUAUUGAUCCAGUUUAAACGUUUAGUGUUAAAAAUUUAAAGGAGAUGACCAAUGACCGGGUAUAUAUAAGGGAGUAAUUUACAAAUUUUAAUAACUAUGAGAUUAUUUCAAAACAAAAAUUAAGCAGCAACAAGUAUUUCAAUUCUUCUGAUGUGAAUCAUAUUAUCUCAGUUCUUCUCCUCUUCUCACUGACGACUCACUCGCCUCACCCUAACGUCUGUAUUAUCUCGUCUCUCUCACCUCUUGUUGUUAGAUAAGCUAAGGUAAGCCAAUCGAUUCUCCAAUUUCUCAUUUCUUCUCUAUUUGAAUUGGAUUCAAGUUUUUUGUUUUAAUGUGCUCCAAGUGUUCGACAAAAUGCCUGAAUGAUUAAAUUUCUGUUACUUUAAUGGUGAGAAAAGACUUUGUAUGUACGUUUGUUUGUAUUUAAUUAUUUAUGGUUCUAAGUUUGUUUCAUUUUGGAGCAUAAUUUGAAUGAAAAGAGAUGAUAUGAAUCAUUACCAAUUACUUUGUUUUUAAUUGUAAAUGUUUCUAUUUGUAUAAAUUUUGUGCAUAUCACUUGCUUGAUAAUUUGCAUGAAAAAGGAUGCGAUGAAUCAUUAACAAUUACUUUGGUUUUAACUGUUAAUGGUUCUAUUUCUGAGUUUUGUUUACGUGCUAGGGUUGUAUACGUGUUUGAUGUGAUUUAAUUAGGUAGAAGAUGGAAGUUUUGUAUGGAACUUGAAAUUUUCUUGAGGAAGUUUUAUAUGCAAAUCUUGAUAUUGUAAGUGAUGUGAUGUAAGUUUAUGAUAAGUGAUGAUAAUGUUGUAUUAUCUGACUAGUAGCUGAUAGGAGUCUAGUGAGAGAACUUCUGUUAAUGGGGAUUAAUCCUAGAGCUAAGUAAUUGUAAAUAUAACAUUGAGGAGGUAAAAAUUUCUGCAUGUUUUUGUUGCUAAAAAGAAUGCUACUGUUGUAAAUACCUUAGGCCAAAACUCUGUCUUCCAACUUCGUCUUCUUCUUUCCGCAACGAAACGUUACGAUGAACAUGCUGGAUUGUUCUCGAAUCUAAAAGGUGCGAAAAAAUUAUCCUCCCUAAUCCUCAUGUUAUUUAAAUUAUCCUUACCCAAACAACAAGUUUUGUCUAUAAUGUUAGAAUUAAUUUGAUUUUAAUGAGUUUUAAUGGGUGGAACGGUGGAUUUUGUGUCUAUAUUUUAAAGCUGAAAAAGUUAAUUUAAGCAUAAAGUAAUAGAGAGUAUUGAUUUUUGUAUUUAGUCCUUUACUUGUGUGAUAAUAUGUGCAGGAACCAAGCCAUGGCCUCCAAGCUGCUUUUGCAGAGAAGGCUCUUCAGGUUCUUGCGACAGUCACAACAAUCCUCAUACUCCUUUUCUUCUUCAUCUUCCAUUCAACGAUCCUCGUUCCAUUCUGCGAAACAAACAGAAAUAUCGGGUUUCUCAACUUUCUCUAGAAGCUUCUGCUCUCGAAAGUCCAGUCUUGUUGAUGAAUCUAAUGCCCCCGCACCUAUUGAUUACACGUAUGACACAUCCUUUUGUGUUUUUCGUCCCUUUGUCUCAUUUGAUCCGUGAAAACUCUGUAAAUUUGAUUUUUUAGAUACUUUUUUUUUAAAAGCAAAAAAAUAAAAAAAAAUUGUCCCUCUGAAUUUGAGUUUUUUUUUUUUUUUUUUUUUUUUUGAAUAAGGAAAGUGUUAAAAUAAUAUUAUUGAAAAUCCAAAUGUCAGUGGCAAUUGCUAAUGCCUCGCGGGCCAUUAAUGCGUAGUGUUGAUUGAAAUAGAUGUUGUGUUUUGUUUAUUCCUUUCAAAUGGCUGGUAUGCUUUUGCUAUUUGCUAAUGAUUAAUAUGGAUGCAGUUCUCUACUGCAGGAGGGUGAAUUCCAUAGACUGGCCGAGUCCACAAUACAUAGCCUUCAAGAGAAAUUUGAGGUAUCUAUUCUCUAGCACUCCUGGAAACAGCCUCUUGUGUAAAACAGGGUAAGGCUGCGUACAAUACACCAAAUGAAGGGACCCCUUCCCGGACCCUGCAUAUGCGGGAGCUCUAGUGCACCGGGUUGCCCUUUUUAUUCUCUAGCACUGUUUUGAGUUUUACACGAACUUAAAUUUAUUAUAUGAUACGACAAUCUCGGUAUCCACUUCAAAUUAUGUAUUUGAUCUAACAAUUGCCAACAUUAUUUGAUAAAUAUAGAAUUUUGAUACAAUUAUGCUUAAAUUCAAAUGUGUUUCGAUAAAAUUAGUAUUGGUUGUGAUGGAAACUUGACAGUGACAAUGUUACACUUCAUAUUAUUUAAGAGUUUAAACUACAUUGGUUAUUAUUUUGGUUUAUUGUUACUUGGCAGGACUAUGGAGACUUUAUCGACCUUGAUGGAUUUGACAUAGACUAUGCGGUGAGAAACUUAUUUGGAGAGUAUGUUAUAGUUUUAUAGAAGAUAGGUAGCAAGCAGCUAAAAUUAUUUCUUAUAUAAUAUCCUACAACUUAUGUAUUUUAGAAGACAACACGGAAGCUAUCUUGUUGUAUGUGAUUAUUUCAAAAAUAAUCACAUCGAUAACUUGAUAACCUUUUUUAUCGAUGAAACUCAGUUAAGUAGUUUGAUCUUUUGAAAAUUAAAUGCUUUCUUUUCCCUGUUAAGACUUUAAAUAAUUUAUUCCUAUUAGUUUUAAGAAGCAUCAUCCCUGUGUCUGUGUGGGAGAUAUACUAAUUGUUAACAUGGCUUUCCUUUUCAGAAUGAUGUUUUGACUGUCAAACUUGGGGAGUUGGGCACCUAUGUAUUGAACAAACAAACACCAAACAGACAACUUUGGCUUUCUUCACCAGUGAGGUAUUUUAUUGUAUAUAUGGUUUUUUUUUUUGGUUUUUUUUUUUAAGAUGUAUAUUUUUUAUAUCAGGUUUUACUCUCUACUAGCCAUCAGUAUUCAUGUAGUAAGUAUAUGGCAUGUGAGUACUUCAUAGAAAACUACAAUAUCCAUGCUUACUUAAUAUUUCCUAGGAUAUCAUUACUAAAUAUGAACUGGAGAUAACAAAUCCAAUUAGUAUUGUAAACAAUCUUCUUUAAUCAAACAGGCUAUUUAUAUGUUAAUAGUUGUGUAUUUAUUAAGGCAACCCUAUUGGGAAAAACCCAAGUCCCACAUCGGAUAGAUAAGACUCAUGAUAAUAGUUUAUAAAGAGGAGACACUCCUCACCUUAUGAACCGCUUUUGUAAGGAUGAGUUAGGCCCCAAAUUUCAACAUGGUAUCAGAGCUUGUCGAGUUCAAAGGGCACCUACCUAUCCACGCACCAAGUCUAAAAAGAGUGAUGGGCGUGAGGGGGUGUAUUGGGAAAAACCCAAGUCCCACAUCGUCUUGAUAAGACUCAUGAUAAUAGUUUAUAAAGAGGAGACACUCCUCACCUUAUGAACCGCUUUUGUAAGAAUGAGUUAGGCCCCAAAUUUCAACAUGGUAUCAGAACUUGUCGAAUUCAAAGGGCACCUACCUAUCCACGCACCAAGUCUAAAAAGAGUGAUGGGUGUGAGGGGGUGUAUUGGGAAAAACCCAAGUCCUACAUCGGAUUGAUAAGACUCAUGAUAAUAGUUUAUAAAGAGGAGACACUCCUCACCUUAUGAACCGGUUUUGUAAGAAUGAGUUAGGCCCCAAAUUUCAACAAACCCUGUGUAAUUGAAGUUUUACAUAUGUUGGUGUUUCUUGUCCUUCGCAUGUUGGUCUUUCUUAUCUUAUUGGUGGAGAAGAAAGAAGCAAGGAUUUGAAAACUUGUAGAAACUUUCCCUUUGGUUUAAUUGCUUUAUUUGAAGUGUUAUCUUAUAGUUUCUUUGUGAGGAAAUUGAGGAUAUAUACAAUAUUUUAUCAGGGUUCAUUUUUAAUGUUUUUCUUCAGGAGGAAAGUACUGUUAUGUAAAUUGAAUCUGAGCUCACGGAAGAAAUGAGUAUAGUAGUAAUUUUUAAUAUUUUCAAUUCUAUUAAAAUAUAGGUUUAGUUCUUUGCAUUGAGAGAUGUUACUAUCUUGUUAUGUAGCAAGAGCAUAUGCAGACCUUGUUAUAUAGCAAGAACAUAUGCAGACCGAUCUUGUCUGUUUGUACCAUAAGAAAUGGUAUCUUACUCUUGUUGUAUCUCCGUUCAAUGCUAUUUUGAUUAUCAAUAAAGAAGUAGGACGCAUUCAGCCUUAACUCUUUAAGUGACAUUAAUUAUGAUCGAUUGUAGCCACCGGAAUUUUCUUAUCAUUUUGGAGGAUUCUAAGACUCUCAUGUCGGAGAGUCUCACCUAAUAAGUGAAACUUAUAAGGAGUUUUCCCAUCUAAUAGUCUAGUCUUUUAGAUGAGCUCUCCCUUUGCGAAAACUUGAACUCGAUAUGAGCAAUGUGUUUUUGUGAUCCUUCUGUGGGGGUCAAGUUUUAAAACCCAUAUUAGAAAAAGCACACAGAUUGUGCAAAAACUAAACCUUGUCACUUAAGUUUGUCCCUGUAAUCCUAACUCCUAAGCCUCUUGCAACUGCUGUUCAACAGCCCUAAUUUUUGUUUGUGGGUUCUUUAUUUGAUAUGAUCCCUCCGUUUUCCGUUAUCCAUAUGCAAGGGCUUCCUUUCCAGUUCUACAGAGAGGUUGCUACGUGUUCUUCUCCCCUGCUAUACAGCCACUCAUCUUCCUUUUUCCAUGCGCUGCUGCGACUGCUCUUCAUUUCUGACACGGUCCAUUUUUCCUCUGUUUGUGUUGUGUGUUUGUGCUUUGUUCUGUUUCUUCCGUGUUCGGUGUUUUUGUAUUUGCUAUCUGGAGCUAUUACUUGUAUAUGCAUGAGUUUGUGAAAUUUGUGGGAUAAUACAGGAUCUUAAGUUUGUCUACCUUAUUCCUACUAAUGGGUUAGCCUGUUGUGGUGGCUCUCCUUUUGACCUUAUUCACAUAAUAAAGGCCUUUGUAUGGUUUUGAGGCUUUAAGUGCAGUUCGAUUUAUUUUAAGUAGAAUACAGUUUGAUCCUCUUGACGUGCAUUUUUUUUAGGAAAAUAGUUUUCUAUUUUAUCAUGCUUGUCUUUUUAAUCUGCUUUGCCUAAACUAGACGGCCAUUGACAUAAAACAUAGGACAGAAUAGGUAUAAUAAUAAAAAUGAGACUUGCAUAUUGACAGUAUCUAUUUCUCUACGAGUUCUACAUUCUCUUCCACCUGUCUAAAAGUCUCCCAUUUCUAUUGCAGUGGUCCGUCUAGGUUUGAUUGGGAUCAGGUUACUAAAGCUUGGAUAUAUAGGCGGAACAAAGCAAAUUUAUACAAAAUCUUAGAAGAUGAGUUGGAGCAGUUGUGUGGCAAACCUAUUGUUCUUUCCUAAGCUGUUGAGAAUGUGGUACUUAAUCUUGAUUUAAAAUUUAAAAAUGGGAAAUCAUUGGACAUUGUUGAUGAUCCUUUGGCAUUCAGGUGUACUCAGUAAGCAGAUUUUGUUCCUUUGCCACCUUUUACUCUGUAAACUAUACCAGUUCUUUCACAAUCAUGACGUGAUUGUAUCUUCUGAAUAAUCAGCUCUAUAUAGAACUCAUGUGGUUGACAUUAGUUUACUCUUCUGAAGAAUUACAAUUGUAAUGGGCAUUAUUGUUGGUUACUACUGGUGAGCUAGAGCAACUCAAAUGGUGAUCUUUAUCAAAGGUUGUUUUGCGGGUCCUCUAACCACAUCAUCUUGAAGCAACUAUUUUUUUUCAUUUGUUCCAAUGAUAAAACACUAAAGAACUGAUAUUAGAACAACAACUUUAUCACCCAAUCUUGUUUUAUUCAUAUGUAACAUUAUUUUAUAUUGAACCCUGUUUUUAUUGCAACAAACCGAAAGAAAAUAAUUUUAUUUUAGUCCCUUUUGUUUCAAAGUUUUGUUGCGUCAAUAAGCAACGGUGAUGACAGGACAGCUGUCCAAUUUUCUUUUAACUCUAAAAUGGUGAAAGGGUGCAACACAUUGGCAGACUCACCCAUUGGUAGAGAAAUUAAAUUUGAACAACGAACAAUUUUUUGAAUUGACUUCUUUUUCUAUAGCAAAAAAUAAUAAAUAGAAAAAGAGAGUAAGAAUACAAUGAAAACAUGAAAGUUGUUUAAAAAAUUGCUGGGACGAUUUAACUAUUUUAGAAUACGAAUAACACAUGAAUUCACAAGGAUGGUUUAACUAACGAGCAAUGAUAUUUGAACAACUAUUUGGUACCACCUUUAUGACAAAUUUUUUUCUCUCUUCUUAUUGGUCAAAAAUAAUGAAGAGGGAAAAGGGAAGAGAGAGAAUAAGAAGAUAAUGUGAGUAUGAGAGAUAAAGUUGUAUAAAAAUGAUUGUACGAAUAUCAUUUCUCUUAACUAUAUAAACCUAUUAUUAAACACUCUUAAAUUGUAAGUUUCAACUACUCAAAAUAAGUUUUAGAUAUAGAUAAAAUAAUUGUUUUUACACAUUCAAGGAUAAAAUUACUUUAUAGAAAAAUACCUAGUUAAAAUUAGUAUUAAAUUAAGGGUUAAUGGUGCUUUACCCCCUGUAAUAUAGGUCAUUUUUUAUUUUCCCCCUGUCAAAUAUUUUUUUUGAUUUACCCUCUUGUAAAAUAUAUUUUUUUUGGAAUACCCCCUAAUAUUUUUUUUUUUGAAUACCCCUAAUAAGUCAUUAAAAAUAUUAAUACCAAUAGUUUCCAAAACCGAAAAUUCAAUAACAAAAACAUAUUGAUGUAAAUCAUAUAUUAUUUAUAUUCUUUAGAAUAGUCUAGAUACAUUAUAAUCAAACUGAUAUUUUUUUGUUUUUGUUUUUACACAUGAGUCGAAUCUGAUAGAUAUUUGUGGAACUAAUCUAGGUUUAAGUCAAUAGGGUUGUCCUCGACAGUCUUUGUUGGGACACAAAGGACAUAGCGUCACGCAAGGGUACUUUCGUCCAUCCAAUUCAAAGAGAGUGGUUUUUUGUUGGGAGAAGAGCAAUUUUCAACAAAUAAACCUAAAGUAAUCAUCUUCUUCAUCGCAACACAAGAAGCAUGUCAAUCCUUAGUCGAUUGAAACUCGCAGGUACUCGUUGUUUCUUCUACUCUCUCUCUCUCUCUCAUUAAAUUUCUUGAAUUUGUUAUUGCUUUGUUACAAUUCUGUUCUAAGAAAAUUCUAUUGCGCUUCUUAAUUUAGCCUCACACAGAAAUAAUAUAUAUGUUUAGUCUUGGCAAGGGACCAAAUACUAACGUAUAGUUAUCAUAUAUAUUGCGUGCUUGCAGCAACAAUGAAGAGCUGUGAAAAGCUUGAGAAUGAGUUGUCUGAUCAUAUUAUAUCUUAUAUCUUUUCCAAGUUAGCUUUGAAAGAUUUGGUGAAAACCAGUGCAUUGUCCAAACAAUGGAUUCACGAAUGGGGAUUAAGGAUGGACCUUAACUUCGAUCUCUAUACCAUGUCCGACUAUAACACAGAUCAAGACUUGUCACAAAUCCUUCCUCUCUCUCUCAAAGGUUUCACUUUCAAUCUGAAUUUUCCACAAGAUUGGAUCAAUUUAUGCUGCAUUAUAAAGGUGCCAUCAUCCGUUCCAUUCGAGUAAAAUUUCCAUUAUGUAAUCAACAUAGGGAUGUCAUUCAUAGAUUGAUCUCCAAAGGAAUUGCUAAGGGUGCCAAACAUAUUGAACUUCUCUUCUCUUCUGAAACAACUGAUACUACUAUUUCUAUUAUGCCAUACAGAUUUUCCCUUAUUCUCUUACUUGAGAAUGAUUCUGUGACCUAUUUGCACCUACAAAACUGCCUCAUAGACAAACCCAGAUACUUCUCUGGAUUAAAAAAUUUGAGAACUCUUGUGUUGCAACAAGUUUUUGUGAAGAAGACACUCCUUAAGACUUUGUGUUCAAAUUGCAACCACCUUGUUGACCUCACCCUUGAUGGUUGUAAAAUCACUUCCAAGUUGGUAAUAAACAGCCCAUCAUUGCUUCGUUUGAACAUUGCUAAUGUUGGGUUUUACCCUCGAAAUCUUAUUACUAUCAUUGCCUCAAGUCUCUCAUCCUUUGAGUAUUCUUGUCUUAAAGAACAUGUAGUACACCAAAUGAACAUUCAAGCUCCUAUGUUAUCCAAGUUUAGCUUUAGAGGUGCUUUGUUUUCAAAGCGUAUACGGUUAUCUGGAUUGACGAACGUAACAAUAAUUAAGUUUGAUGCAUUACUAAUUGAUCUAUCCACAAACAUCUUGCCUCAUUUGUUUUCUAAAUGUCCUCAACUUGAAGCUGUCACUCUUAAGAACUGCUUGUUCACAAGUUCAACACAAAUUACCAGUUCGAAGUUACGUCAUUUGAUCAUACUUGAUAGUGUUUGGGUGGAUGACUCUCCUUCUGAUAUAUCUAUUGAUGCAUUAAAUCUUUCAUCCUUUGAAUAUACUGGGUACACCACAAGGAUAAUUUCUUUUACGGCUCCAAGGUUAUCGAAGGUUUUCUGGGAUACAUCAGAGAGAGAGAAUAGACCACACCUUUUUGAUCCAAUUGCAAGUUUACCACAUAUUGAGAAUUUAGCUAUGAUCAUCGGCACUUUACAAGUGAGUCGCUCAAUGAUAUUCCAACACUAUAGUACAUUCCAACAGUGUCUAGGUUUCUUUCCAUUACGUUUUUCACUAGCUGCUUUUAAUUCACUUAAGUAUCAUUGUUGUAAACAGGUAAAGGAAUUAGCGAAAGUCUUGGUUCGGUUUCAAAAUCUUUGACAAUUGGACUUACAUAUUGAUGGAGCAUGUGAUCCUAUUAUGGACUACUUUUGGCUUUUGGAUAUUGCAACGGCUUCUAGGCAUCUCCAAAAACUUACACUGAGUGUAAGUUAUUCAAACUUUUUUUUUUUUUCUUUUGUCUUGAAUGGAACUAGAAGUUUAUUUUAAAACUUAGCUGCAGUACGAUAGGUAUUGUUUUUGCUAUUUCCCAAUUGAAACUAGACACAUGUAAGAGUAGAUAAAUAAAGAUGAAUAAUUUUUGUUUUUCUUUUUAAAUAUUAACACUAACUUAAAACUCAUAUACUUUAAAAUAAACAAAUUUCUCCGAAUGUUUUUUCAUAAUAGUAAAUUAGAUUUAUUUAACCAAAAAUCCCAAAUCAAUUAUCAAACCUUUAAUUGAUAUUGAAAAUGGGUGAGAGACCGAAACUCAUACAAUUGAAUUUGAGAGACCAAAAAGUUGGAUUUUAAAAUAGGGGACCAAAACUUCAUUUUUCCUAAAACAAGUCAAUCAAAAGUGCAUUUAAGUCAAAAACCACUAUCAAACAACUCUAUUUUAGUCUUGUGUGUUUGUAUGAAAGUUAUACUCUAUCGGUUUAUAAAUACACGUCGUAGUCAAUCACUUCACAUAUGCUAAUACACAACUUUGAUAAUCAAUAUCUUUAGUUAUCUAUGAUAAAAAAAAAUUAUAACAGUUAGAUAUGUUAUAAAUAUUCAUUGAGACAAGUUGAACAAAAUCUUAUAUACUAACAUUAGUGUUUAUAUAUUAGGUAAAAAUAUAUUACACAUUAUGAAUGUGAAUAAUACAUAUUACCAACGUCAAAAAAGAAAGAAAGAAUAGUACACAUUAUCAAAUUGUUACAUGUAUCUUAUAAGCUAAUAGUUUGACCUUGUCAAACAUAAUAAACAACAUCGUAUUUCAAUUAAAAUAAUGAAUAAGUUGUGGAUUAGUUUUAUAUGCUAAUGGAAUUUUAAAAUUCUCAUAAAUGUAUCGUUAUUUUCAAUUUUCAGAUUAAAAAUCUUCAUCCGGAACAUUCACAUAUGGUUGGAUUUAAAAGGCAGAAAAGCGAAUAUGAGGGGUUUUCUCAUAAUGUUUUGAAAUAUGUGGAGUUUCUCGGCUGUGUUUGCUCCAUAAAUGUUUUUGAGUUAGCUACUCACCUAUUGAAGAGUGCAAAUUCGCUUAAGAAAAUGACUUUCCAUUCUAGUGACAGAGUCUAUCUUGGAGGUGGUAGAUGGACAACUUAUUUUAAUGCAUGUGGUGGUGAUUGUUGGUUAGGAAAGAAUGUUAUUCACGAGAUGUUUAAGGAUUGUUAUCAUGGUUUUUGGGUGCCAAGCCAUUAAUUAGACUUGUACCUUUCGACCGUUGAUAUCUCUAUUUUUUCUUGGGAAGGGCAAAAUUGAGAAAAAACCCUUAGAUUCUAAGUUCGGGGGCCGGUUUUACUACGGGAAGGUGUUAGGCACCCGGAGUAACUAUAGUCCUCUAUAGGAGCCGUUUUCCUAAGUCUAUAUUCACGCUUAUUUUUACUUACUUUUGAAAAUGGGAGGUUUAUUUAGUUAAGAAUGGGGGGGAGAGAUUGUAAGACUUUGAUUUUAUUUCGGCUUGGAUGAGUUUUGACUCAUUGCCUACGUACCGUUUUACAGGAUCAAAACCGGCGUAGUUCUUGCUAAAAAGACUUGUUUUUCUUUUGUUUUAAUUGUUUGAUUUUAAGUUUUGAAAAAAAGGUUUUGAAGAAGGAGAUUGGGAGGCUUCAUGAGCAUUAGAUUUUAGCAAAAGGUGAAGUUUGAUUAGUGAUUAGAAAAAAAGUCUAAAUGAUUAAGAUGAAUUGAAUUUUCCUUUAGAGAAAAAAAAAAAGAAAGGAAAAAAAAAAAUGAAGUGUUGACUUCAUACUUAUUAUGAAAAUUUUUGAAGUGAAGUUCAAUUGUUUUUUUUGGAAAAAAGAUGGAUUUUCUCUAAGUGUUUAAAACCUAAACGCUUAUUUAACCAUACAAUCCUAUGCAUACAUCUAAGGUGAGUGUGUGCGUGUCGGUGCAUCAUAGUGUCCAUAGUCCAUAUUACAAAAAUUGCCUAAAUACAUUCUAUGGCCCCUUUGCCAAGCUACAAACCAAUGAUAACAAAUUACAUUACCAAAUGAAUUAAAACUUGCAAAAGAUAAAGGCUAGGCUAAAGAAAGUGGAGGGAAUGCUAAAUGGGAUGCAUGAAACAUGGAAAUAAACUUGUUAGUGAAAAGAAAAAACAUAACAAGUACUAAGAAAUAAAAGCAUGCAAGAUGGCACAAAAAGUUAACAAAAUGACAUUAAACCCUAAAAACUUAGGUAUGAAACCUAAAGCAUUCUUGGCCUCUAAUUCUCAUGCUUUAACAAAUUUUGAAAGAGUUUUCUUUAUCUCAAGUUAUAGCAUAGAAUUAUUGGAAACAUGCAAACAUGGUUUCAUGCCACAUUUUCUAGAAUAAACUUGGCAUUUUAUAUCUUUCAAAAUAUGCAUAUAUUGUUCAUAAAAUCAAGCACUCAUGAACCAAAUCAAAACAGCAAAUCAACAUGAAAUUAUUGGCACAAAUCUCUCAUAUUAACACGUCAAGUAGCUUUUAUUUCAUAUUCUCACAUCAAGGACAAAUGUGUGAAGAAGAAUCCAUAACAAAUAAUUCAAAGAGAAUUAAAAUGCUAUGAAUUAAUUAUACAAAAAUUUCAUAGAUCCUUAAUGUUCAAAAAUGUCAUAAAAACACUAAGAAAAUAUCAAGAAACAUGUGAUAAUUUUUUGGAGGUUUUUUGGAGAAAAUUUUAAGCAUGCAGGGGUUCAAACAGCAAAGAAAUAUGGUGCAAAUAGCAGGAAAACAAACAAAAACGUAAAAGAACAAAGCCCAAACCAAAGGCCCAAUACACUAGAAGAUCCGGUUGCACAGGAACCAUACGAUUGAUCCAGGAUUCUGAAACCCUAGAUCAGACGGCCAGGAAUCAAAGGGGGAAUGGACCGGACUGGACCGGUCCGGUUCGCUGGCUUAUAAAAAGGAAGGAGCUCCGGUUUAUUUCAUUUUGCUGCUCUCAUUCUCUCUCUAACUCUUCUCUCUUCUCUCAUCUCUCAUCUCUCACUAACUUCGCCGCCGGCGAGGAUGAAGCUACGGCGGAGACCUUGAAGGUCCGCCGGAAACUUCAUCUUCUCCGGCGAGUUCAUGCAGUUUCCGGUGACCUAAAUUUCCAGAUUUCAAAGAUUCUUACUCCAUUUGAUUCGUCCUUUAACCCUAAACACGAAUCCAGCAGUUGUUUUUUCAAAUUCAAGUCGAAACGAUGUAGAUCUGGAAAUUUGCCGUACGGCUUUGAAUUUGAUUUUGAUUUUUUGAAAGAUAACGUUUAGAUCCUUGAAGAUCUACAUCAUUUCGUUGUUUAACACCUCUUUGAUGUUUGUUCUUGCUUUCAAAACUUAGAUCCUUAUGGAUCUAGGUUUUGUGUUUACGGUUACGGUUUUGGCUUUGAAUUCUGGAAAUUUGGAUCUGUUUUGCUUGCGUGAUUUUUAGGUUUAACAGUGAUAUUGCUUUUGAAAAAGAUUAUGAGUUUUACCUAAGGUUUUGGUUGAAACCUUUAAUGGAGAAAUUCUUUGGAAAACUUCAAUCUCUGAUGCUACGUGAUUUGGCUUUGAAUCCGGAAAUAAACCGGUGUUCCUGCUGGUUUCUUGCUUUAUCGUCUUCUUCGCCGGUUUAAACCUUCAUUAUCUUUCUUUCUUCUUCGUCUUCCUCACUGUAUCUUCGUGAUCGGUGCUGGAGUUUGCCUUUGGCGAAUUCGCACCUUGAAUUGCGAAGAUACUGAUUCAAUGAUGAUGAUUCUUCAAAGAAUCACUGAGAAUCCAUGAAAAAUAGCUUGAAUUUGUGUAGUUUCUGUUUCUGGAAAAGGUUAGGUUUACGCCAUUGAUGAAUGUUGAAGCUUUUUCUGUUUUGAUUUGUAACUGACAAGAGAGAGUGUGACUCUGUGUUUAUGAGUUGGCACCUGAUGAAUGGCUUUGAGUGGCACUGUGCACCUUUUAUAGCAUGACAUGUGUGCCUCUGAACAAAUGAGAAAGUGACACCUGGACCUGGAAAAAAAAAUGACACGGCCUUGGACAAAAAAUCAAAUUUGGACCUUCUUGCAAAAAACAAAACUUAAGGACUAAACUGCAAUUGACCAAAAAAGGACUAAAAUGAAAAUUGGAAGAGAAACUGGACUGAAAUGUAAUUUUGGGACCUCAAUUGAGGGACCAAAAUGUAAUAAAAAAUAAAAUUGAAUAAAACGUAAUUUGACCAAACGUAAAGCGAAACAAAAAUAAAAUUGACAAAACGGACUAAAACGAACCAAUGGCCUAAAUGAGGUACUUCAAAGUAACCUCCCCAUGCCAAAAUUUUAUGCGAAAUGACCAAAAUGCCCCUAGGGCUAAAAAUGACCUAAACAGAGCCAAAAUGACUCGACACUGACUCAGAUGCAAGUUUGAAAUGAAAUUAGCAAGGUUUACUGAUGGAAAGUUAAAAAUGAAUUUGAAAAGACCCAGAGACAGUCACAAGGAUGAAAAUGGGUCCCACUGCAGGAAAUGACCAAAAUACCCUUCUGUAUGACUUUUUUUGCAAAUUUUGAAAUAAACUGUAGAAAAAGCAAUGUAAUGAUUCAGAGACACUUUUGAAUGACUUACAAGACAAGUAAAGACAUUUCGAAAGGUUUUAUGCAAGAAAAACAUAGGUAAAAUUGUGAUUGAAAAUACUGCGAGGCAGAGACAAUUUGAACUGUGCAGUUGAAAUUUGAUAAUUGACAAAGUUUGAAAAUGAAAUUGGGCCCAGUAUUUUUAGGUCCAAAAACAGGGUAUAACAGCUGCCCCUAUUUAAGUUUCUUUGUCUGGAGAGUCAAGAGACGGAGUCUUUGGCUUGACAGGACGAAGACACUUAAAUAUUAGCAUUUGCACUGUGUUUGGACGUAAAAAUACGCCUACCCAUUUUCAAAUAAUAUGCAUGCCAUGCAUCAUUUGGAUUAUGAAUGCAAGACCUCAUGGGGAUUGGAAUUAACAAAAUAUGUCGUAUCCAUUGCGGGAUUGGUAGACAUUGACAAAGAUAGUGAAUAGCAGAGUAACGGGAAACUAGAAACAAGUUGGACAGGUACAAGCUGUUCUUGGAUUCAAACUAGCCACUUGACCGGGGAUGAAACAAACAGACAACUGCGAGUUGUUCUUAUGGAUUCGAACUGGUCACUUCACAGGGGAUGGAGGUUACUGGACAAACAUGAGUUGUUCUUAUGGAUUCGAACUGAUAACUCACUUGGGGAUAUUGGAAAGUGCGAGUUGUUCUUAUGGAUUCGAACUGGUGACCCGACUGGGAAAAAGAGAAAAUUGGCAAGUACGAGUUGUUCUUAUGGAUUCGAACUGGUUACUCGACUGAAAGCAUGGCAAAUAGACAGGUGCGAGCUUGUUCUUGGAUGCGAACUGGUUACUCCACCGGACAGAAACAGAUAGACAGGUACAAGCUGCUCUUGGAUUGAGCUAGCCACUUGACCAAACGGAAACAUAUUGACAGGUACAAGCUGCUCUUGGACUGAGCUGGGCACUCGACCGAUAACAUAAGCAAAUUGAUAGGUACAAGCUGUUCUUGGACUUGAACUAGCCACUUGACCAAACAGAAACAUAUUCACUGGGGAUUGGUUUUGUUCUGACAAAAUAUAGAUUGAGAUUGACUUGACGUCGAUUUGAUUUGAAAGGUAGAAAUUGACCGAUAUUAUUGGCUCACAAGGUUUUGACAGAGAACCUGACAUGAGUUUUGAAUUGAGACUGAUGUUGACAUUGAAAAUGCAAUAUGCACGGAUGAUAUAACGAUUUCAUUAAAUGCAUGAGCACGUAAUAUGCAUGAUUAUGCAUGUAUGAAUGCUUGUAAUGCAUGACUGUUGGCAUUUUGUAGGCACGACUUCACGGGGAAGACGAGACAUCAGAGUAUUGGGCACGUAGUGGCUCGUGCUAUGUUACACCUUCUUGGAAAUCCUCUUUGGAGAUGACGUCGUUUGGGAGACGUAUCGGAACCAUGGCUGAGGGCAGGUAGCUAUGCAACUUGCUGGGGAUAGAAUCUCGAGAGACUUUACUGGGGAUAAUGCCGUUGUGAUAGGCAUGUUGUGGACAUCGCAUCUGUGGUCAAUGCUUUUUGCAUGUUAUAUUCUCAAUUCUCAUUCAUCAUUUUUUGCAUCCCAUUUUUGCCUGGAUCGCCCUUUCGGGUUUUCGAUCCACCGGGGAAAUAAAUUCUUUUCAAUGCCCCAUUUUUGCCUGAACUGCCCUUUCGGGUUGUCAAUCCAGCGGGGUGCUCAUUUUUGCCUAAGCCGCCCUUCCGGGUUUUCAACUUAGCGAGCCUUUUCAUUUUCAUGCAUUUGCAUUCUGUUUUUUUUCAUUUUUGCCAUUGACCACAGAUUAUCUUGGAGGAGAACCUGCUUGUAACAUAUAUGGAAAUAGACAUUAACAUACUCUCGCUCAUGCAUGUUUCAUUUGAAUGUACCCUGUUGCUCAGGUUUGCUUUUCAAAACAGACAAAAAGUUUUCAAUUUUCAAAAUGUUUGUUUCAAGCAUUGUCAUUAUCAAAAUAGAAAGAAAAUGUUUUGUAUAUAGCUUUGAAAGUAAAAAGAAAGCAGAGUUUCAAACAAAAGCACAAGCUCAAAUUGAUGUAUAAGAGUGGUGGUCAGCCGAAGGCGUGACUCCACGGAUUCACAAAGCUUGGAAAAUGGUAAUUUUAUUGGUUGGUGGUACAUUGAACACAGUAAUCACUACAUUUCUUAGAAACUUUGAAUCCACAAGUGCAGAAGCUUUUGAUGAAGACGGUCAUUAACAGCUGCAGAUGUCCCAAGGGGGACGGUGGUUGGCCAGAUAUAGUUACUUGCCUUUUGUUUCAAUCUCAUUUUUGCAUGAACCGCCCUUCCGGGUUUUCGGCUCAUCGAGACACUCAUUCUUGCCUGAGUUGUGUACAAUCUCAGCGAGCUUUUCAUAUUUGUUUUUUUUGUCCCUUAUUUUUGCCUGGACCGCCCUUUCGGGUUCUCGAUCCACCGGGAAGCGCAUUUUUGCCUAGGCCGCCCUUUCGGGUUUUCGACCUACCACGCUGUUCUUUUCAUAUUUCUAGGCAAAGUAUUUCUUGACUAUAUCGGCAUUCACUGGAUUUGGAAGCUCUACACCAUCCAUGUGUGUAAGGAUUAAAGCACCACCGGAGAAGGCCUUCUUGACAACAUAAGGACCUUCAUAGUUAGGCGUCCACUUGCCCCUUGGGUCGGGUUGCUGGCUUAUCCUCCCUUUCAAUACAAGUUCCCCUACCUUGAAUUCUCGCGGAUGGACUUUCUUGUCAAAGGCAGUCUUCAUUCUUGCUUGAUAUGACUGUCCACGAGCCAUGGCAUCCAUACGUUUUUCCUCAAUCAAAUUUAACUGAUCAUACCGGUUUUGGCACCAUUCAGCCUCAGAUAACUUUGCUUCCAUAAUCACACGGAGAGAUGGGAUCUCCACUUCCAAAGGAAGAACUGCUUCCAUACCAUAUACAAGAGAGAAAGGGGUUGCCCCGGUUGAACUGCGCACAGUAGUACGGUAGCCAUGCAGAGCAUAGGGUAACAUCUCAUGCCAGUCCUUGUAAGUGGUUACCAUCUUCUGGAUGAUUCUCUUGAUAUUCUUAUUGGCGGCCUCAACUGCACCAUUCAUCUGAGGUCUAUAAGGAGAAGAGUUAUGAUGCUCAAUUUUGAAUUCUUCACAAAGAGCUUGCACCACAUUGUUGUUCAGGUUGGUACCAUUGUCGGUAAUAAUCUUGCUGGGAACACCAUAUCGACAGAUGAUGUUGUUCUUGAUGAACUUAGCUACCACUUGCUUGGUCACAUUAGUAUAAGAUGCUGCUUCAACCCACUUGGUGAAGUAGUCAAUUGCCACUAAGAUGAAACGAUGACCAUUUGAAGCCUUCGGUUCAAUCCUUCCAAUCAUAUCGAUGCCCCACAUUGAGAACGGCCACGGGGAUGACAUAACAUUGAGAGCGUGCGGAGGCACAUGAAUCUUAUUAGCAUAGAUUUGACAUUUGUGACAUUUUCUGGCGUAUUGGUAGCAAUCAUGCUCCAUGGCCAUCCAGUAGUAACCUGCCCGUAGCAACUUUCUUGACAUAGUAUGCCCUGUAGCAUGGGUCCCGAAGGUACCGUCAUGUACAUCAUGCAUUAACUGCUCCGCCUCAUGUUCAUCAACACAUCUUAACAAUACCAUGUCAUAGUUCCUCUUGUACAAAAUAUCUCCAUCUAACAGGAAUCUACCGGCCAAUCUUCUCAAGGUCUUCUUGUCUUGUUUGGAAGCACUCGGCGGAUACUCACGGCUCAGCAAGAACUGUUUGAUGUCGUAGUACCAAGGUCUAUAGUCAACCACAUUUUCACCAGCUUGAUCGAUCACAUCCCCAAUAGCAAACACAUGUGAAGGUCUUUCAAGGCGUUGCACUUUGAUUAAUGGCACAUCAUUCCAAUGGUUUACUCGGAACAUGGAAGAUAGAGUAGCAAGAGCAUCAGCCAUUUGGUUCUCAUCACGAGGAAUAUGAUGCAGCUCAACCUUUGUAAAAUAUGUCAGAAGACGUCUCGCAUAAUCACGAUAAGGAAUCAACUUAGCAUGGUGGGUCUCCCAUUCACCCUUUAUCUGAUUGAUGACGAGCGCAGAAUCUCCAUAGAUGUCGAGGUGUUUGAUUCUCAUGUCAAUUGCUUCCUCGAUCCCGAAGAUACAUGCUUCAUACUCAGCCAUAUUGUUUGUACAUUCGAACAGAAUACGGGCGGUAAAAGGAAUAUGAUGCCCUUGCGGGGAUACAAUGACUGCCCCAAUUCCUUUGCCAUAAGCAUUGACAGCACCAUCAAAGACUAAACCCCACUUGCUAUUGGGAUCUGGACCUUCAUUAAUCAACGGUUCGUCGCAGUCUUUGGAUUUCAAAUACAUGAUCUCUUCAUCAGGGAAAUCGAAUUCAAUUGGUUGGUAAUCAUCAAGAGGUUGAUAAGCAAGGUGAUCGGCAAGAAUGCUGCCUUUGAUUGCCUUUUGAGUUUUGAACACAAUAUCAUAUUCAGACAAAAGCAUCUGCCAGCGUGCGAUCUUCCCAGUAACGGCCGCUUUCUCAAAGAUAUACUUUAUCGGAUCCAUUCUGGAUAUCAACCAAGUUGUAUGAUUCACCAAAUAAUGGCGCAGGCGUUUGGCAGCCCAAGCUAGAGCACAACAAGUCUUUUCAAGCAUUGUAUAUCGAGUUUCACAAUCGGUGAACUUCUUGCUUAGAUAGUAGAUAGCAUGCUCUUUCUUUCCGGUUUCAUCUUGUUGACCAAGUACACAUCCCAUGGAUUCAUCAAAUACUGCCAAAUACAUAAUCAAAGGCCUUCCUUCCACGGGUGGGACAAGGAUAGGUGGUUCCAGCAGGUAAUUCUUGAUGCUAUCAAAAGCUUCUUGGCAUUCAUCAUUCCAUACAACAGGCUGGUUCUUUCUAAGUAGCUUGAAGAUCGGCCCGCAGGUUGCAGUCAUGUGAGAUAUGAAUCGGGAGAUGUAAUUCAAACGUCCCAAGAAACCUCUGACUUGCUUCUCUGUCUGUGGAGCUGGCAUUUCUCGGAUGGCCCGGACUUUAUCAGGAUCGACUUCAAUGCCCUUUUGGCUGACAAUGAAGCCUAAUAACUUUCCGGACCUGACACCGAAUGUACAUUUGUUGGGAUUCAAUCGCAGCUUGUAUUUUCUCAACCUUUCAAACAUCUUUGUUAGAUAUUCAACAUGCUGCUCCUCAUCUGCUGACUUCACAAUCAUGUCAUCCACAUAUACCUCAACUUCUUUGUGAAUCAUGUCAUGAAACAGAGUGGUCAUUCCCCUUUGGUAGGUAGCACCAGCAUUGAUUAGGCCGAACGGCAUCACUUUGUAACAGAAAGUACCCCAUGGAGUGAUAAAAGAUGUCUUUUCUCUAUCUUCAGGAGACAUUUUGAUCUGAUUAUAACCGGAAAAACCGUCCAUGAAGGAGAACACCUUAGAUUGAGCAGUAUUAUCAACAAGCACGUCAAUAUGGGGUAACGGAAAGUUGUCUUUUGGACUGGCUUUGUUCAAGUCCCUGAAAUCAACACACAUCCGGACUUUACCAUCCUUCUUCGGCACAGGCACAAUAUUGGCAACCCAUUCGGGGUACUCAACUGUCAUGAGGAAACCCGCAUCAAUCUGCUUUUGAACUUCAUUCUUAAUCUUGAGGGCCAUAUCAGGAUGAGUCCUCCUCAAUUUCUGCCUGACGGGAGGACAUUCAGGCUUGGUAGGGAUCCGAUGCUCCACGAUCAUAGGGUCUAGACCUGGCAUAUCUUCAUAGGACCAUGCAAAAAUAUCCGGAUAUUCCCGGAGGAGUUGGAUGAUCUUCUGUUUAACCCCUUCCUCUAGAGUAGCACCAAUCUUGAUUUCUCGCUUGUUUUCUUCGGUACCUAUGUUGAUAAGCUCAAUCUCUUCUUGGUGAGGCUGAAUGGCUUUCUUUUCUUGCUCAAGUAACCGAGUGAUCUCAUACGGUAUGUCAUCACCUUCCUCAUCUUCGGCUUCAUAUACAGGGAAAUCAAAACUUGGAGGAACCGUAGGAUUACUGUGUUCAACGGGUUUAUUAUGGUUCAACCUGCAUAUAAUGAUUGGAUGAUUUUAGAAAUAGUUUUUUUUUCAUGCAGAUUUUUGAAAUUAAUAAGAAAAUACAGACGUUUUGGUUUUUUCUGGCAUUACCAUUGUUUCCAAGGGAAAAAGCACUUAAAAAAAGUAGUCGUGGAAGAAACGACAAAAUUUUAUUAAUCAACGGCAAUGCCGAAACAAACAUGCCCUUACAGAAAAUAUCACUCUCGCUUUGGGCAGAGCGAGAGGAUUGUUAUUUUGAAAACAAAGCACUAAAGCAACAAGACACAUUACUCAGAAACAUGCAUGAUUGAAGGAAUGUCAAUGGCAUCCCAAUUCGUCGCAAUGCCUCCUGGUGUAACAAAUAUAGGCCUGAGACCAGAUCCAGUGGCUUCUUCAGAGAUAGCAUUAACAAACCCUGCACUGUGGAAGACUCCCGAGGAAACCCUUGAUGACGGGGAGAACCCGAGACCUUCCUUUCGCUUGUUCUCACAGAGCUGUAUCAUCUUGCCCCAGCCGGCAGUCUGACCUUCUUGGAUGGCUCUCUGAGCAUCCUUCAAUGAAGCCAUAGCAGCCCCAGCUUCCUUAGACUCUGCACCUUCAAUGGUCAAACCUUGGAAAGCAGUCCCUUCAGCAGAUCCUGCUUCAAUACAAGAGAAGGAAGACAACUGGCUGACUAAGUAUGCUUCUUCACCAUGGAUUGUAACGAGUUUUCCAUUCUUCACAAAUUUCAACUUCUGAUGUAAGGUGGAAGUAACCGCACCUGCAUCGUGUAUCCACGGUCUUCCCAGCAGGCAACUGUAGGAUGCAUUAAUGUCCAUCACUUGGAAGGUAACCAAGAAAUUCUCAGGGCCAAUGGUUAUCGGCAAGUCUAUCUCCCCCAGCACGUUCUUUCGAGAUCCGUCAAAAGCUUUGACCAAGAAAGUACUUCUUCUCAAAGGGGUCCCACGGUAGCUCAACUGAUCUAGAGUUGUCUUGGGCAUUACAUUGAGAGAGGAACCGGUAUCCACCAACACAUUUGAUAUCAUGUCUGAUUUACAAUUCACCGAGAUGUGCAAAGCCAGAUUGUGACCCUUUCCCGCUUCCGGCAACUCUUCUUCACUAAACCAGAGGUUGUUACAAGCAGUAAUAUUUCCCACUAUGCCACCGAAACGAUCUACCGUAACUUCGUGGUCAACAUAUGCCUGCUCCAGCACUUUCAACAAGGUAUUCCUGUGAGCCUCAGAGCUCAAGAGUAAUGACAAGACAGAUAUCUUUGAAGGAGUCUGCAGCAACUGAUCAACGAUCUUGUAGUCGCUCCUCUUUAUUAUUCUCAGAAUCUCAUCUAAAUUUGAAUCCUCUAUAGAUUUGCCUGGCUGAUUCACAUCUGUAGCAAUGGGUGAAACAACGGUUGGAGUUGCUUCUUCAACUGGUGGAGUGAUUGGCGUAGCUACCUUCUUCUGAAAUAAUGGCGGACGAACCUUCCCGCUUCUUAGCGCUGCAGAAGUCCCUUCGGCAAUAUUGCUUACUGUGGCAAAGGAGGCUAGAGGUACCUCUACUCCAUUUUCUAUUAUAGUAGCAUUGUACUUAUAUGGCACUGCCUUGUCCGAAGCAUAAGGAAUUGGUCCUGGCAACCUUAUUACCAAAGGCUCAGCAUUCUUCUUCAAAGGUACACUCUUGACAGGCGGAUCGUGAAAAACUGGCACGACCACGCAAACAUCACUGACAGUCAGAAGAUUAUCGUUCAUCGAACUUUGGAUGUCGUCUUGAACAGCAUGGCAACCCAAAGGAUCACGGAGGCAUCCUAGACACUUGGCAUGAUCAUGGCUGAACAGAGAAGCUUUGCACAGCUUGAUAUGUAGAGGCACCAGAGGAGUGACAACAUUGCGGACAUCAAGUCUAGGAGCUUCCUCACACACUUCGAUCAUAUUCACAGCGGCAUGAUUUGGUAGCGGAUUGUCAAGGACAUGUGGAACAUUAUUCUCAAAAGUCAGCUUUCCCUGAUCAAUGAGCUUCUUCACGAUAUACUUCAAAGCAUAACACCCCUCGACAUCAUGACCUAAGGCACCUUGAUGAAAGUCACAUUUGAGAUCAGACCUGAACCUUGGAGGCAACGGAUCAGGUGGUGGCUUGCCCUGUCUAGUCGUACAAUGACCUCUCUGGAGUAAAGUCGGAAGAAGUUCUGCAUACAACAUCGGUAUAGGAGGAAAAGUUGGUCUAGUAUACUGCUGCUGCUGCUGUUGUUGUUGUUGUUGAACCGGCAACUGUUGUUUUAUCUGUUGGGCAAUUGCAUUGACGGGCACUUGAGGCUGGCCCGGUGGCAAAGGGUACUGAUGAUAAAACGGUGGGAAGAACGAAUGCUGAGAAUACGGCAUAUAUGGGUAUGACGGAGGCAUUUGAGCUGUAUUGAUAGGAGCAACGGUAGCUAUAGAUUGACCGGCUCCAGCUGACACCAUCCCCACUUCCGUUUCUUUCUUCUUGUGGUGUCCAUUACCAUAUCUCUUCGAUGCACCCACAGAGGAUUCAGCUUUCUCAAACACAAUGAUUCCAUCCCUGACUGCUUCCUCAAGACGGGUUCCCAUAGUGACCAUCUCCGAAAAGUUGUUCGGGGCAGCGAUGAUCAUCCUCUCAACAUAAUCUUUCUUCAAGGUCUUUAAGAAUGUCUGGGUCAUUUCUUCUUCAUCUAAAGCAGGAGUAAUACGGGCAGCUGCCCCUCUCCACCUUUGCGCAUAUUCACGGAAACUUUCCUCCUUUUUCUGAGAUAGGGACCUGAGAAACUCCCUAUUCGGCUUCAAUCGAGUGUUAAACCCGUAGUGGCUCCUGAAAGCGGUGGCCAGCUCAUCAAAAGUAUGGACAUCGUCUUUGCUCAGACUAGUAUACCACUCUGCAGCAUCCUCCAUCAGACUGUCUUGGAAGUAAUGGAUCAUAAGGGAAUCAUUGUCCUUGUAGUUGCCCAUUUUCCGGACGUAUUUGACAAUAUGAUUUUGAGGACAAGUCAGCCCGUUAUACUUGUCGAACUCCGGGACUUUGAACUUUUUUGGAACAUCUACCUUCGAUACUAAGCAGAGGUCCUGGGUUUUAAUGGAGUCUCCGUUUCCCCUGUUGGCCUUAAUUUCCCGUUGGAGCUCUUUGGCAAGUUCUUCCAUUCUCUCUUCCAUAGUUCCGGUUGUGGCAAUACUCCCGUGGUGCGCAUUAGCAUGGACAAAUAGAGGCACCGCAUUCACAAUGGGCUCGGUAACAGUUGUUGCAGCUUGAGUCAAGGCAGUACUAACAGGAGUUAAGUUUGCCCCUGGGAUUGGGCCAUUGUUGGUAGUACCAGAGGUCCCUGCCCCUGUAUUAGCAGUAUAGUACAGCGGAAGUCCGUAAGGAUACCCGGAUGGCAUGAUAGAGCGGGGAUCAGUUGUUACGGUAGGAGUCACAUUUGCAGCUGUAGAAACUACGGGAACUGGUUGUUCCUGAGCAGCCAACAGAGCAGUCAUAGCAUCAUGAGCUUUGGCCAAUUCCUCCCUUAAAGAUGCCAAUUCGGUACGGAGCUGUGUGUUCUCUUCUUCCAUAGCCCUUUUCUUUCUUCUGUAUUCUCUGGUUCGAUCAAUUCUAUCAGGUUCGUAAACUCUCUGAGCACGAGCCACUUUUCACACUAAGGCAGAGAAACCAGGAGGUGGUAAGCACUCGGAAGCCUUUGUGACCGAUGCAUGAUGCAUAUGAUGCAUGAUAUGCAAAUGCAAAUGCGAAAGACUUAUUUUUUUCAUCGAAGGAUUUUUAAACAAAUUGGAAAUUUUGCAAAUAAUCAAAACUACAUAGCAUUUUCAAAAGGAAGACUUUGAAAUUUCAACAAGAUAAACAAAUGAAGCCCUCAAGCAUAAGAAGUAGUCGGAAGAUCAUCGGACUCGGAAUCUGAAUCACAGUAUCUAUCAAAGAAGUCUCGUCGUCCUCGAGCUCUCUUGGAGUCCCUCAUAAGCAGCUCAUCUUUCUCUUCCAAUUCCUUCCGGGCCUUAGCUAACUCUUUCUUCAACAUUAGAUUCUCAUGAGUCUUCUGCUCAUCUCUACCAUCCAAAGUCAUGAUUAGAUUCUCGGCUUGAUUGUACCGAGCUUUCCACACUUGCUUCUCACGACUCUCCAUAGCUAGAUGCUCCUGAUACAUAUCCUAAGUCGCGGGGAGCAAAGGUAGAGGCAUAGACGGGGUAGACGAAGACACGUAUCUCAUAGCUGGAUAAGGCAUACCAAUCUCCUCAGCUCGAUCUAUCACCCACUGAGUAUAGGCCUCAUGAGCAACACCGGAUCUCACACCUAGAUGCUUCACACUCUUCCUUCGAACCUUGGACCAAGCAUCCAUGAAAGCUUUCCUUUGUCCAGUAGGAGCACUCGUGUAGAAGAAGAACUCUGGAGAUGUAGCAAGAUUGAUGGGCUUCGACUUCAUAGGGAAACCAAACUGUCUCAUAGCAAGCUCGGGAUUGUAGUUAAUUCCUCCCCGAGUACCAAGAAGAGGUACAUUGAGAAAGUCUCCACAACCCAUAAUGAUUUCCUUCACUUGAGCGGCAGGAGUGAGCCAGACGACCUCAUUAGGAGUGAGGGCCAUAAUCCGCUGAGAGUAGGACCAAUUUUCCGAGUUAUCAUGGAAGGAACUCGGAAGGUGCGAAAUAAACCACCUAUACAAAAGAGAUAUGCAGCAAAGAAUAUACCCACGGCCCUUGAGAGUCCUGUCAUGAAUGGCGUGGUAGGCAUCCGCUAGCAAAGUAGGAACCGGGUUCUUGGAAUGAAAGAUCUCGAUAGCAUUCAUGUCCACGAAGUUGUCGAGGUUUGGAAAGAGAAUGAGCCCGUAGAUAAGCAAAGCAAGAAUAGCCUCGAGUGUAUCCUGACGAGUAGUACUGAGAUUAGCCUGAUCAAGAAGAUACUUUGAAGUGAACCCCCGGAUGUGAGACUUGGUAAUAAGAUGGUUGGAGACGUCGGAAGUCUUGAGGUAGAGAUCCUUAGCAAUAACCAGAGGAGUAAGAGAAGUCCCGGGACCGGUGAAAGGCGUCUUCUCGGCUAUAGGUAAACCCACUAGAUUGGAGUAAGCCUCGAGAGUAGGAACCAACUGGAAGUCCGGGAAGGUGAAGCAACGGAAGCUUGGAUCAUAAAAUUGCACUAGAGUGUGCACUAGCUUCUCGUCCACAUCGGUUCGGAGCAAAGUAAGCAAUCCCCCAUACCGGAGUCGGAACCCUGUUUGACUCUUGACCUUGAGUGCCAACUCUCUUAAACUGACCAAAUCCACUUCCUUGAACUUGUAGCACUUAGUCUUCUUCAUACCUGUGAUUAUUUACAAAAUAUUCCAUUUGUUUAGGCCCUUCGAUGAAUGCAUGAAAAAUGUUUAUGCAUGAAUGCAUGUAUGCAUGAUUGUGUUGUUUAGUUACAAAGAACAAGAUGGGUUGAGAUUCAAAGUAACAGGGCUACGGCUGGACACGGCGUCCGGUGAACUAAGGCUUUGGAUAGUAGUAACCAAGGUUCUAACACAGUUCCCAAACUGCAACCUCUCUCACAUAUAUCAUGGUAGUACAGGACGACACCCGUUCCAUGAUUAUUUGUGAGAAGGUCUAGUUUGAGUGUAGUAUCGCGUGACGACUAAAGUUUGAGACAACACUCAAUUUAGCCACCGCACUACGUCCUAAAAAGGCUAGGAUGGGUUUGGUAACUACGGUUCAUAGCUUCGUCGAACAAUUGAAAGUGAAGUGCCUAAGCAUGACAACACACGCCGACAAUAUCACCUUCAAAAUGCCUCAGCUAUGUGAGAUUGAUCGCAUAAUCCAAUACACGAGGCAACCCCCGGAUCGAAUUGUCGAUUAUAUCUCUACCUAAACAUAAGUUCACUCAGCCCGGGUAUAGGACUUUUGAUAUUCUCACCCCCCCCGUCAAAUGAAAGUAAACAAGUAUUCACAUAUGUAAGCAAUAAAACAAAGCGUAAAUAAACUAAGGAAAACUAGGCGUGACCCGCUAAAAAAAUCCCCAGUGAAGUCGCCAUUUCUGUUAUCAUGGUUUUUGGGUGCCAAGCCAUUAAUUAGACUUGUACCUUUCGACCGUUGAUAUCUCUAUUUUUUCUUGGGAAGGGCAAAAUUGAGAAAAAACCCUUAGAUUCUAAGUUCGGGGGCCGGUUUUACUACGGGAAGGUGUUAGGCACCCGGAGUAACUAUAGUCCUCUAUAGGAGCCGUUUUCCUAAGUCUAUAUUCACGCUUAUUUUUACUUACUUUUGAAAAUGGGAGGUUUAUUUAGUUAAGAAUGGGGGGGAGAGAUUGUAAGACUUUGAUUUUAUUUCGGCUUGGAUGAGUUUUGACUCAUUGCCUACGUACCGUUUUACAGGAUCAAAACCGGCGUAGUUCUUGCUAAAAAGACUUGUUUUUCUUUUGUUUUAAUUGUUUGAUUUUAAGUUUUGAAAAAAAGGUUUUGAAGAAGGAGAUUGGGAGGCUUCAUGAGCAUUAGAUUUUAGCAAAAGGUGAAGUUUGAUUAGUGAUUAGAAAAAAAGUCUAAAUGAUUAAGAUGAAUUGAAUUUUCCUUAAGAGAAAAAAAAAAAGAAAGGAAAAAAAAAAAUGAAGUGUUGACUUCAUACUUAUUAUGAAAAUUUUUGAAGUGAAGUUCAAUUGUUUUUUUUGGAAAAAAGAUGGAUUUUCUCUAAGUGUUUAAAACCUAAACGCUUAUUUAACCAUACAAUCCUAUGCAUACAUCUAAGGUGAGUGUGUGCGUGUCGGUGCAUCAUAGUGUCCAUAGUCCAUAUUACAAAAAUUGCCUAAAUACAUUCUAUGGCCCCUUUGCCAAGCUACAAACCAAUGAUAACAAAUUACAUUACCAAAUGAAUUAAAACUUGCAAAAGAUAAAGGCUAGGCUAAAGAAAGUGGAGGGAAUGCUAAAUGGGAUGCAUGAAACAUGGAAAUAAACUUGUUAGUGAAAAGAAAAAACAUAACAAGUACUAAGAAAUAAAAGCAUGCAAGAUGGCACAAAAAGUUAACAAAAUGACAUUAAACCCUAAAAACUUAGGUAUGAAACCUAAAGCAUUCUUGGCCUCUAAUUCUCAUGCUUUAACAAAUUUUGAAAGAGUUUUCUUUAUCUCAAGUUAUAGCAUAGAAUUAUUGGAAACAUGCAAACAUGGUUUCAUGCCACAUUUUCUAGAAUAAACUUGGCAUUUUAUAUCUUUCAAAAUAUGCAUAUAUUGUUCAUAAAAUCAAGCACUCAUGAACCAAAUCAAAACAGCAAAUCAACAUGAAAUUAUUGGCACAAAUCUCUCAUAUUAACACGUCAAGUAGCUUUUAUUUCAUAUUCUCACAUCAAGGACAAAUGUGUGAAGAAGAAUCCAUAACAAAUAAUUCAAAGAGAAUUAAAAUGCUAUGAAUUAAUUAUACAAAAAUUUCAUAGAUCCUUAAUGUUCAAAAAUGUCAUAAAAACACUAAGAAAAUAUCAAGAAACAUGUGAUAAUUUUUUGGAGGUUUUUUGGAGAAAAUUUUAAGCAUGCAGGGGUUCAAACAGCAAAGAAAUAUGGUGCAAAUAGCAGGAAAACAAACAAAAACGUAAAAGAACAAAGCCCAAACCAAAGGCCCAAUACACUAGAAGAUCCGGUUGCACAGGAACCAUACGAUUGAUCCAGGAUUCUGAAACCCUAGAUCAGACGGCCAGGAAUCAAAGGGGGAAUGGACCGGACUGGACCGGUCCGGUUCGCUGGCUUAUAAAAAGGAAGGAGCUCCGGUUUAUUUCAUUUUGCUGCUCUCAUUCUCUCUCUAACUCUUCUCUCUUCUCUCAUCUCUCAUCUCUCACUAACUUCGCCGCCGGCGAGGAUGAAGCUACGGCGGAGACCUUGAAGGUCCGCCGGAAACUUCAUCUUCUCCGGCGAGUUCAUGCAGUUUCCGGUGACCUAAAUUUCCAGAUUUCAAAGAUUCUUACUCCAUUUGAUUCGUCCUUUAACCCUAAACACGAAUCCAGCAGUUGUUUUUUCAAAUUCAAGUCGAAACGAUGUAGAUCUGGAAAUUUGCCGUACGGCUUUGAAUUUGAUUUUGAUUUUUUGAAAGAUAACGUUUAGAUCCUUGAAGAUCUACAUCAUUUCGUUGUUUAACACCUCUUUGAUGUUUGUUCUUGCUUUCAAAACUUAGAUCCUUAUGGAUCUAGGUUUUGUGUUUACGGUUACGGUUUUGGCUUUGAAUUCUGGAAAUUUGGAUCUGUUUUGCUUGCGUGAUUUUUAGGUUUAACAGUGAUAUUGCUUUUGAAAAAGAUUAUGAGUUUUACCUAAGGUUUUGGUUGAAACCUUUAAUGGAGAAAUUCUUUGGAAAACUUCAAUCUCUGAUGCUACGUGAUUUGGCUUUGAAUCCGGAAAUAAACCGGUGUUCCUGCUGGUUUCUUGCUUUAUCGUCUUCUUCGCCGGUUUAAACCUUCAUUAUCUUUCUUUCUUCUUCGUCUUCCUCACUGUAUCUUCGUGAUCGGUGCUGGAGUUUGCCUUUGGCGAAUUCGCACCUUGAAUUGCGAAGAUACUGAUUCAAUGAUGAUGAUUCUUCAAAGAAUCACUGAGAAUCCAUGAAAAAUAGCUUGAAUUUGUGUAGUUUCUGUUUCUGGAAAAGGUUAGGUUUACGCCAUUGAUGAAUGUUGAAGCUUUUUCUGUUUUGAUUUGUAACUGACAAGAGAGAGUGUGACUCUGUGUUUAUGAGUUGGCACCUGAUGAAUGGCUUUGAGUGGCACUGUGCACCUUUUAUAGCAUGACAUGUGUGCCUCUGAACAAAUGAGAAAGUGACACCUGGACCUGGAAAAAAAAAUGACACGGCCUUGGACAAAAAAUCAAAUUUGGACCUUCUUGCAAAAAACAAAACUUAAGGACUAAACUGCAAUUGACCAAAAAAGGACUAAAAUGAAAAUUGGAAGAGAAACUGGACUGAAAUGUAAUUUUGGGACCUCAAUUGAGGGACCAAAAUGUAAUAAAAAAUAAAAUUGAAUAAAACGUAAUUUGACCAAACGUAAAGCGAAACAAAAAUAAAAUUGACAAAACGGACUAAAACGAACCAAUGGCCUAAAUGAGGUACUUCAAAGUAACCUCCCCAUGCCAAAAUUUUAUGCGAAAUGACCAAAAUGCCCCUAGGGCUAAAAAUGACCUAAACAGAGCCAAAAUGACUCGACACUGACUCAGAUGCAAGUUUGAAAUGAAAUUAGCAAGGUUUACUGAUGGAAAGUUAAAAAUGAAUUUGAAAAGACCCAGAGACAGUCACAAGGAUGAAAAUGGGUCCCACUGCAGGAAAUGACCAAAAUACCCUUCUGUAUGACUUUUUUUGCAAAUUUUGAAAUAAACUGUAGAAAAAGCAAUGUAAUGAUUCAGAGACACUUUUGAAUGACUUACAAGACAAGUAAAGACAUUUCGAAAGGUUUUAUGCAAGAAAAACAUAGGUAAAAUUGUGAUUGAAAAUACUGCGAGGCAGAGACAAUUUGAACUGUGCAGUUGAAAUUUGAUAAUUGACAAAGUUUAAAAAUGAAAUUGGGCCCAGUAUUUUUAGGUCCAAAAACAGGGUAUAACAAGGAUGAAGUAAAUGAACAAUGUCAGCUUAUAAUUCUGUAGUGUCAUUUUUUCUAUUUAUAAUGAGUUUUUACUACUAUUAUUAUUUGUAAUAAAUCUUUUCUAAAAAACUUUGUAUAAUUUACUUUAUUUAUGAAUUACAAUAUUUACUAUUUUUUGGGUGUUUUUAUUUUAUAUGAAGGAAUCAUUAGAAAUAGACAUGUAGUUAUUAUUUGGUUGUGGGUUUGUUUGGUCACUCAACUUUGUUCGCAUGAAUUUUGAUCUUAAUCUCGAUGCUAUCGAGUCACCUUUAAAAUGAGAAACCUAAUCAACAAUAUUUGUAGGUGGUUUUGUCAACGUUAUUUUACCAUGCAAUUUUUUUUUUCUCCUAUGAAGAAGACUCUAUUUACAUGUUUAUCUAAUCUCACUAAAACAAUAUUGAAGCCCAUUGCAUAAAAUAUUAACUUCUUUUUUCCAAUUCUCACUUGAUGGUUACAUGUGGCGUUAAGAUUGAUACGAUAAUUUUAUCUUGAAUCACAUUCAAACAGAUGGGUCUAAAGACCACGUUGUUUUCAAUUUUUUUGUUGCCAAGAAUACUAUUGAGGAGGUCAUUAUGAACACGGAAGCACCCUACUCCAUAAAUCUAAUGUAUGGCAUCCUUACGGUGGCUUCAUUCCUUCUAAGUGACUUCAUUCCUUCUAAUGAGUGGUGAGAUAUAGUAUAUUGUCAUAAUAAGAUCGAACAUAUGGAAGUGACUUUCAGAUUGUGACUUGGCUUGCACGUUACGCACAUUUAAACAGACAAAGAUGAAGACAUCUUCAAUCAUUUUUAUUGUAAAAAACUAUACACACAUACUCUUUAGAUAUUAUUUGAUCAUUUGUAUCGUGUUAUUCUAGUUGGAAUGAUUUAUAUAAUCGGUUAUAUGCCAGUGUUGGAUGCAUAUCAUGUUUGACACUAACAAAAUAUGUAUUUUGCGUAUUUUGCUAGUGAAUUGAUGAGUAAUUUUCUUUUUCAAAUGACGAGGUGAUGAUAUGGGGUGCUACGUGUAUGAGAAUAUGAGAUUCUACAAGUGGAUGGAUGUAUAUGACUUAUGACUUGUUUUACUUUUUGAAAAAGAAUAUGGAUUUUGAAUAAUUUAGAUUGUAUUGGGUAGUUUGCAUAUGGUAUUUGUGUAGUUUGGAUGUGUACACCAAAUUACUUGUUCUAGAAAAUGAGUGAAAUAUUACGUUUGAAUCUUAAUAAUAUACAAAUGUGAAGCUACAAAUAGGAAAAAAAUUUUGCCCCAAUCCAAUGUGUCAAAAUUCUAAGCCUCCUACAAUAAAUCAUCAUAUUUUAUAAUCUCAUUUUACCAUCACUUAUAGUAAUAGGGACAACAAAACCAUAACAAUUUCAAAUUUACACAAUAAAAAUAACAUCAAAAUUCAUUUUAGUUCAUAAAAAAUUGAAUGUGUUAAUUUCCCUCUAAGAAAUGUCAUUUUCAAGUGUGUUAUUAAGAAAAAAACAAAUGUUCAAUUUGAAAUGAGGCCCAACUAUGCUAAGCCCAGCACUCAAACUCUCCUCAUUUUCAGAAUCAUUCAAUGCAAAGCAACAGAAAGGGAAAGCUUUCCCUGCCAUCACUGUUUUCACGUUGGAAAAUCUCUCUUUCACGUUGGAGUGGACUUGAGAGAUUUGUUUGUUUGUUUGUUUGAUGAAUUUUCCAUAAAUAUACUUAGGCUACUGCAACUAUUCCAUCAAAUUUAGUACUUAUAUUUUCUUCAUUUUUCUUUUGCUUUAUAGCUCUACCUUGCCACCAUUUUGAGAAGAGUAAUCUGAAAUUGAGAAGAGGAAAGUAAAGGUUGACAUUAAUGUGCUUUGUUUUCAACCUCAUUGGCCUUUCUUUACACAAUGUGAGUGGAUAUCUUCCUAUAAACUUUUAAAUUUUAUUUUUCAUUAGAGGCUCUUCCUAUCCUAAGUUUUUAUUGAAUGUUUUUCAUUUUGUAUUUCUCUCUGUUUCAUUGAUUUCAUGAACAGCUCCACUGCGUCGGAGCAAUCGACACCAUCUCUUUGAAACUGUUUCCCCAUCAUCAUGAGUAAGUAUUCAUCCUUCAUAUUUUGUGCUCAAGUUCUUUAUCUGAUUUGUUGUGUUUUUUUCUUAGAAGUUGUGAAGUUGUUUGUUGUAUCAACUAGAAACAUUUAUCAGUUUUGAUAUAAUGUAACUAAAUUUUGUGAUUGAAAAUAGAAAUUGAAAUUCCAUUUGUGCUAAAGUUCUUUAUCUGGUUUGUAAUCUUGGGAUAUAACUACAGAAACAUUUGGAAUUUUUUGAUUUUUUCUUGAUAAUUUGGAUUGAUUUCUUUUGAUUGUUUAUGGAAGUUUUUGUUUGAGCAUGACAUGUGGCUUCUGUCACGAUUUUGGAGCAUCUGCAAGUUAACAUAUAGAUUUAUACUGAGGGCCUCUGUAAAUUGUAAGUCUUUUGAUUACUUUGUGUCUGUUUCGAGUUCUAAUUGUCAAUGUUAUAACUUAUAGGUUCAUUUAUCUAUUGAAGCAUCUUAGGCAUGUUUUGAUGUCCUUGUUUUUUGGCUGUUUCGGUUCUAUGAACUAAGGAAAGAUCCUAUCUGUAGUUCUCAUUAAGCCUUUAUUGCAACUCAUGUGAUGGAUAUGUAUACUUCAUUAUACCUUCGGAGUCACUAGAGCAACUUAAAUAUAGAUAUUUUGUUGUAUCCCUAGAGCAAUUAAAAGUAUCAUCUUGCUUAUUUGCUAUGAUCAAUGAAAUAUAUUAGCAUGAUACGUACAAGUAAUUAGAUACUUUUAGUAGAUCAUCGUCAUUUUUAAACUUAAAAUUAGAUUGAUGGGAUAGAACAAAAUAACUAUUGGUUUGUGGACAAUCAACCCAUGGGGAUCAAUGGAAGGUUACAAAGCUGAAACAGUAUGUAAGGGUGGAUUUGAGUUCACUAUGAUACGAAAUUGCAACUGUUAUGAUGGGGUACAUGAAUAAGAACCGGUUUUCUUACAUGCAACUGCAACUGUUAUUUUUUUUAGUCUGAAUAUGUCCUUUGCAAUCUUUUUUAGUGAAGUCUUAUAUAAAUCGGGACAUUAGAUACACUUUGUUUAUGGUCAAAUAUGUACAGGCAUACUUAAUUUGAUGUUAGGGUUGUGAAAAGAUUUGAUAGACUGUAAUGUUGGCAUUUACUAUUAGUAGGAUGUUUAAUUUAUUUAUUUUGGACAAAAUUAAUGGUUGUAUAAUGUUGGCACUUGCCAAAUAGUUAUUUGUCGAAUAUUUAAGAAUUGAAUUCAACCUAUCAAAUAACAAAUGAUAACACAUUUUCGAUGACUAAGUUUUCUUUUCCAAUCACGUUAAUAAUUAAUAUUCUUUUUAGACAAUUAUUCAUUAUAUUAGUAUAAAAUUAUUUGAGUAAAGUUUUAUCACCCGUGCUGUUUUAUAUCAUGAUACAAAUAAUUCAUGAUAUGGUUGUAUCAGUUCCUAAAUAUCGGAACAAUUUAAUUUUUGAAUUGACUGCACCGUAACUAUAAUUUCAUAGUAUUGAAGCACUUUGAAACACUGCAGUUUUAAAACUAUUGUGCCCAAACAUGUGCAGGAUUGAUGGCUCCUAUCUCCAGUUAGUGAGAAAUUGGUUUUGAAGUUUGUAGGGUUGAUGGUUAGUGAGACUGGAGGAUAUAAAACAACAUGUUUGUACCGAUGGUUGAUGCUUUCAUGUCUUACUUCAAUAGGGGUAGGACAUUACUUUAAUAACCAAGUAUAUGGAUUUAAAUGGAGUUGUAUGGUUCAUAUUAACUACAAAGACUAUGAUUCAAAUCUGGGAGACUAUAUGUAUUAGAUUUAAUAUCAAAGUCUUAUAUUCCUCAAACAUGGGGCUAUAGAUAUUUAAUUUAUGUUUCUAUUGAUAAUGAAGGUACAAUCAUGUUGAUUUUAACAUUUGUAUUCAAUAUAUUGGAUAUAUUUUUAUUCAUUUAAAUUAUUGAUGAAAUAUAUUAUAUAUAUUAAGUUUUAUACAUUAUGCAUUGAGAAUCAACAUUUGCUUAUUACAAUAAGACAAAUUUUUGUGAUGACAACAACAUUUGAUUUGUCUAAGAAGUGCAUUAUAUGUUUUUAUUUUGAUUGUACGUUCAGAGUAAUAUUUUUUUAACGCCACAAUAAAUCCUUUUUCGCCCGUGCGUUGCACGGGUGGAAAUACUAGUAUACAACAGUUGAGUGGAAUAAAAUGAAAUGCAAUUGGUGUGUAUGUACAAUUUUGAUGGUAAGGAUGAAUGGUUAUUUAAUAUGUUGAGGUGAAAGUUUGAAUACGUAAUGUUUUAUUUCUGUUGAUUUUACUUUACAUUUAUUGUUAUAUUUUUAUAUUUGAAUAUAAAUACAAGAUUGACACUUUUAUAUAUAUAUAUAUAUAUAUAUAUAUAUAUAUAUAUAUAUAUAUAUAUAUUAUUUUUGAGAGAAACAUCUAUAUUAUUGUUAAAUUUCACAAAAUAAUUCAUCAAUUUGCUUGCCUGGUUUAACAACAAUCGGAAAUAUUAUUUGCGAGUAUCUAAUAGGUUCAAAUCCAAUUGAUAUCCCUAGUUAAAAAGGAAUUUAGAAGUGAACUUUAGACCAUUUCAAUGAUUACUCUUUUGGCUUUUCUUUGCUUGUAAUGAGAGUAACAUCACCUUUUCUUCAAACUAUUUGAUCUUCACAUAAAGCCUCUACCACCUCCACAUAUAGUAUGUGUUACUGAAUUUAGAAGCAAAUCAUGCUUUAUACACCUUCAUACCAUAGAAGCCCUCGUCAUCGAAAGCGGGAAGAAAUGAAGGGUGUUUGAUGUAGAGUUUUUAUUUUUUAUAAGCUUGGAUGGAUCAACUCCAUUGGUAUGAGUUUGAGCUAGAAGAAUAAAAUCAUUUGCAUAAUUUAGAAAUUAAUCCCAUAAAUUAUAACCACAUACAUAUUUAGCAAAUCAACAUUCUUUUAUCCCUGUUUGCCAAUUUUCUAUAUUUUUUAUUGAAAAAUAAAAGUUUAGGUGAGUUGUGUCUCGGUCUGAAAGCCAUUUACUAAAUAUGUUAUAGUUAAACUAUCCGCCAAAAGGGAAGGUUAUGUUAAAAUUGUAUCUUUGUUUGUUAUAAUUAGAUAGCUUGGAGAACAAGUUACUUUGCAACUCCAUAGAAUCUUACUAUACACUAGCUGCAUCUAAUCUUAAUUCACUAGAAAGUUUGUUAGGAUCUUAAACAGCUAUAUAUAGCUUGCUGUAACCGUUUUCUUCUCAAUUCUAUGAAUCUAGCUUUUAUCUCAAUUUUCUCUCCUUCUUCUUUGUUAAGCUUCUGCAUUUCUUCAACUUUCACCAUGGAUAUGGUGAAGUUUAACAUGGUAUCAGAGCUCUUUUGAGCUCUGCUGCGCAUCGUUCUUCCUUCGUUUCUUCUUCUUCUUCGUUUUACGAUGGUUCGUGGAAACGCCGCCACUAACGGUGGUGCAAAUGGAGGAGCUAUGAUUCCUCCACCUCUUGAUCCUUCGCAACAACCUGGUAACGUGUAUUACGUUCAUUCUUCCGAUGGUCCUUCCUCUGUCAUUGUUACUCCGGUAUUGAACAACUCAAAUUAUCACUCUUGGGCGCGUUCAAUGAGAAGAGCUUUAGGAGGAAAGAACAAGUUUGAUUUUGUGGAUGGAUCAAUUCCAGUUCCUAUGGAAUUUGAUCCAAGUUUCAAAGCAUGGAAUCGUUGUAACAUGCUUGUGCAUUCAUGGAUCAUGAAUUCUGUUGAAGAUUCUAUUGCACAGAGUAUUGUGUUUCUUGAGAACGCCAUGGAUGUAACACCCCGUUUUCCCAAUAUACAAAUUUCUUAAACAUUUAUCAGAGUAAAAACCAUAAACGGGAUAUCACAUAGAAACGUAAUCCAAAAGCAGUUAAAUAAUAAUUUAACUUCCACAUAAUAUCUUAAUAUAGCAGCGGAAUAUUAGUUCAGAAGUCAUAAAUCAAUUUGGCACGCAGGCCCCAACAAAGUAUCUCAAAAGAGUUAAUCAAAACAGAAAUUAUCAUAGCAGUUCACGUAAAAGAAUGAAGCAUGUUAUAGCAUAUAACCCCAUCCCGUUAUGUAUCAGAGCGACCUAGACAACACAGUGAAGGCAAGGCCAACUCACGAAAGCAAACUGCACACUAAGCACGAUCACCUGCAAGUUACCCAUACGAAGGGCAACAUUUUCAAGCAGAAGGGGUGAGAUUUCAUAAUCAAAUAACAUUAAUCAAUGUAAUUGCGAAUCAUAAAUUAACAUCAUAAUCAUUCCUUAAAUAACAUUGCAUAAUUGCUAAACAGUUAUAACAUAAUCAUAUAUCCAAUUAUCAUGAACAACAUAACAUAUUCGAUAACCACUUAUCACAUAAUCACGUAAUCAAUCAUUAUCAACAAGGCAUCUUAAUCAUGACAAUGCGACAAUGCUCUUAGACUCCUUAUAUGCAUGUGGUACCAAUCGUCAUCAUAAGUAUUAAUAUACUUUAAUCGUGCGGAGGACAAAGCUCCUAUAAAACGUGCGGGGGACAAAGCUCCUAAUAUUCGUGGUGAGGACUAAGCUCAAUGAGAUGCUAUGCAUGGACACUUAUGAACAAAACAUCGUAAUCAACAUAUCAACAUGCAUCCAAUAAUUUGGAGCUAACUUCAUCAUAUACUUAUACACUUAGUUAAAUAACGGAAGCAGCAUAAACAGGUCACAUAAACGAGAUGAUAUUAUUAUAUCAAUAGCACAUAAAUUGCAUCAUUAUCAAGCUUUCAUAUCUUGCAUGAAUAUACAAUACAUUAGUUCAUGUCCAAUUAAUAUCAACAUAACUUAAACAACUCUACAGACUGCAUUAAACGUCAUCAUUAGGUCUUAAUGCCAAUUAGGGGUUCGCUCUUGAUCCACACGUGCGACACAGAUCGUACAAACACUCAAACAAACUACAUCCUGGGCUAGCUCGCGAGACGAAAGUUCUCACUCGCCAUGGCGAGUACCACUCAUCUCCCAAACUAAUGUUGUUCUGGGUUCCCUCUGAUCCUACAUUCAUUCCCAAUCAAUACUAGGUAUGUUCAGGCACUCAAAGGCACUCAAGGUCCAACUAAAAAGGUCGGAACACAAAAUCUAACAUGCACUCUGCCUAAGCUCGCGAGGCGAGGAAGGGUUGCUCGCAAUGGCGAGCUGCAUCACACAACUCGCGAGGCGAAGGGCGUUGCUCGCCAUGGCGAGUUGCACCAAAAAACUCGCGAGGCGAAGGGAAAGGGCUCGCGUGGCGAGCGAUGAAGUUCAUCACUCGCGAGGCGAGGAUCAUCCCUCGUCGUGGCGAGCGAUGAAUAGAAGCACGGGCAGACUACGGGUUUUCUCGAAAAUCCAACAAACAACAUGGUUCAAAGCCUAAUUUUGAUUCCAUAAUCCAUCCUAAACAUGUUCUAAGGUUAAAGGACGGUUUCUACAUCAAUCUAAACAAGUUUUACCGUUUGAUCAUCAAUUUUUAGGGUUUUGACCUAAUUUCCAAACUUUUCUAAAUCAAUCCUAACUUUGUCAUUUAAUCAUCAGAAUUACAGCAAUCAACGUUAUUGAAUUAUUAGUCUCACCCUUACCUUGUUUGAAGAAAAUCGCAGCACUCUUCCUUGGUUUCUCUAGACUUGGCUUUUUCUCCCUUUUUCUCCAAAACAGUCGUACGUACAAUGUUUUUCUAAAACUAGGUCUAACCUUUAUAUACCUCUUCUUAAUUACUUAUUUUAUCUCACUUUCUCCCCCAAAACUAUCUAAAAUAUCAAAACAGCCCUCAACUAAAUAUUUUAUAUUAUUUUCAAAUCUUUAUUUUAUUUAACAAUAAAAUAAAUCCCUUAAUCUUAUCAAAUCUUCCAAAACUCAUAACUUAUCACGUCAUCCAUCAAAUCACCAAAAUCAUCGCAAAUCAUCAAAACAUAUCAAAAUCAUGCAUAUAUUAUAUAAAUAUAAUAUAAUCGCCUAAACUCGAUUAAAUAAGCAAUUAACAAAAGUGGGCGUUACAAUGCAUGUUUGGAAUGAACUCAAGGAACGGUUUUCUCAAGGUGAUUACAUUCGUAUUUCUGAAUUACAAUGCGAAAUCUUUGGAUUGAAGCAAGAUUCGCGUUCAGUUUCUGAGUUUUUCACUACAUUGAAGGUUCUAUGGGAAGAACUUGAAGCAUAUCUUCCCACUCCGGUUUGUGCUUGUCCCCAUCGUUGUACGUGUAAUACUGGUGUGCUUAAUGCUAAGCAUCAGCAUGAGAUUACACGCUCUAUCAGAUUCCUCACUGGUCUCAAUGAUCAAUUUGAUCUUGUACGUUCUCAAAUCUUGUUGAUGAACCCUUUACCAACUCUCAACAAGAUUUUUUCAAUGGUAUUGCAGCAUGAAAGACAAUUUAGAGUUUCUAUUCCUGUUGAUGAGUCAAAAAUCCUUAUCAAUUCAGUGAAUAAGUUUCAAGGGCGAGGACGUGGUAAUGGAAGUACUUCUGGUGGUGCAAAGCGUUCUUGUUCCUUUUGUGGACGAAGUAAUCAUACUGUUGAUACUUGCUAUAAGAAGCAUGGUUUCCCUCCAAAUUAUGGUAAGAAUUUUGCUAAUGCUAACAAUUCCUCCCUUGAGAUGCAUGAAGAAAGGGAGGAUCUUGAUGAUUCAAAAAGCUGCAAAGGAAGUGAUUCUUUUAGCAUGACAAAAGAGCAAUAUGAACAUCUGGUUAAUCUUCUUCAAACUCAACAAAGUUCUUCUAGGAGCAAGGUGAACCAUGUCACUAAUCAUGUGACAUCAGGUAUAUCCACACUUUCAUAUGCUCUGAAUCACUGCAGUUUUGGUUCAUGGAUAGUUGAUUCAGGAGCAAGUGAUCAUAUAUGCUCAUCUAUUAAAGCUUUUGAUUCCUAUCAAUCUAUUAAACCUGUUCAUAUUAAGUUACCAAAUGGUAACAUAACUAUAGCAAAAAUCUCUGGCACAGUGCAAUUCUCUUCAGGACUUGUUGCCAAAAAUGUGUUAUAUGUUGCAGACUUCAAAUUAAAUCUUUUGACUGUACCCAAACUAUGUGUUGAUGAUGAUUGCAUAGUAACUUUUGAUAAUGAUAAAUGUUUAAUACAGGAAAGGAGGAACUUGAAGAUGACUGGUUUGGCUGAUUUGAUAGAGGGAUUGUAUUUUCUGACCACUCAAGCUUCCCCAUCAACCAAACCUCAAUUUGUCAUAGCUUCUAUCAACUCUCAAAGUUCUUCUUUUCUACCUCAAGAAGCCUUAUGGCAUUUUAGAUUAGGUCAUUUGUCCAAUCAUAGAAUGCUUAGCUUAAAACAGUCUUUUCCUUGUAUUAAGAUUGAUGACAAUUCAGUUUGUGAUAUAUGUCAUUACUCUAGACAUAAGAAAGUACCUUUUCAUCUCAGUGUAAAUAAAGCAAACAAAUGCUAUGAAAUGUUUCAUUUUGAUAUAUGGGGUCUUGUUUCUAUUCCUUCUAUUCAUGGUCACAAAUAUUUCAUUACUGCUCUUGAUGAUCACAGUCGUUUUACUUGGAUCAUCCUAUGUAAAUCAAAAUUUGAAGUUCAAAAACAUGUUCAAAAUUUCAUUAUCAUGAUAGAAAAUUAGUUUAGUUGUCAUGUUAAAACUGUUAGGACGGAUAAUGGUCCUGAAUUUCUUAUGUCAGAAUUCUAUUCUUCUAAAGGCAUUGAGCAUCAAACAAGUUGUGUUGAGACUCCCCAACAAAAUGGGAGAGUAGAAAGAAAACAUCAACACAUCUUGAAUGUAGCUAGAGCUUUACUUUUCCAAUCAAAAUUACCUAAACAGUUCUGGUCUUAUUCAGUUUUGCAUGCAGUUUACAUAAUCAAUAGAAUUCCUACUCCUCUGCUGCAAAACAAAUCCCCUUAUUUUCUCAGAUUUGGUAAUAAUUGUGAUUUAAAUGAUUUCAAAGUCUUUGGUUGUCUUUGUUAUGCCUCUACCUUACAUAAUCAUAGAACAAAAUUUGACUCUAGAGCCAAAAAGUCUCUUUUCUUAGGAUACAAGCAAGGUGUUAAAGGAGCUAUUCUUUUUGAUCUUGACACCAAAAUCAUUUUUGUGUCCAGACAUGUAACCUAUCAUGAACAUAUUCUUCCUUACUCUAAUUCAAAUCAACCUUUUCAAUGGCAGUACCAUUCAAAUCAACCUAUAUCUUCUGCCAUUGAACCUAUCACCAAUCUCAACACUAAUCAAAAUGAAUCCACUGUAACCAAAGCCAUUAACCCUGAAGAUUCUGAAACUGAGAUAUCUUCCAACAUUGAACUUGAUGAUCACAUUCAACCACAUUCACAAACUUUACCUGAACCAGAUUAUUUAUCUCUUAGAAAAUCAACCAGAAUUAUACAAAAACCAACCUAUCUGUCAGACUAUGUAUGCAAUCUCUCUAAAGAAUCAGACAAUUCAUCAUCUUCAGGUAUACUUUAUCCUAUCACUCAUUUUCAUUCACUCAAUAGUUUAUCCCCAAACAUCAGAAGUUUGCUCUAGCUGUUACUAAUGCUGCUGAACCUACAAGUUACAAUGAAGCAAGCAAGCAAGAGUGUUGGGUUAAGGCUAUGGAAUCUGAACUUGAUGCUUUGAAACACAAUAAAACUUGGAUUUUUGUGGAUUCACCACCCAAUGUCAAACCUAUUGGUAGUAAAUGGGUGUAUAAAAUCAAACAUAAGGCAGAUGGGAGCAUAGAGAGGUACAUGGCCAGACUGGUGGCUAAAGGCUAUAAUCAAGUUGAAGGCAUUGAUUUUUUUGACACUUUUUCACCAGUAGCCAAAAUUACUACUGUCAGAACUCUCCUUGCCUUAGCAUCAAUCAACUCAUGGCAUCUACACCAAUUAGAUGUGAACAAUGCUUUUCUCCAUGGAGAUUUAUCUGAAGACGUUUACAUGACUAUUCCUCAAGGUGUUGUCAACAUAAAACCAAAUCAAGUGUGUAAAUUGUUGAAGUCUCUUUAUGGUUUAAAGCAAGCCAGCAGAAAAUGGUAUGAAAAAUUGACUAGUUUCUUAAUCAGUCAAGGUUACAAACAGUCUGCUUCUGAUCAUUCCCUCUUCACUCUUCAUUCAGAUCCCAUGUUCACUGCUCUUCUUGUGUAUGUGGAUGAUGUCAUUUUAGCAGGGAAUUCAAUGGAUGAGAUCAAUAAAAUCAAGGUUACCCUUGAUGCAGAAUUUAAAAUCAAGGAUCUUGGUCAACUUAAAUAUUUCCUUGGCAUAGAGGUGGCACAUUCUAAACUUGGAAUUAGUAUAUGCCAAAGAAAAUAUUGUCUUGAUCUUCUUCAUGAUACAGGCUUACUUGGUUCAAAGCCAGUUUCAACACCACUUGAUCCAUCUAUAAAGCUACACCAAGAUACUUCAAAAGCUUUUGAUGAUAUUUUUAGCUAUAGAAGACUUGUGGGAAAACUCUUGUAUCUCACCACAACCAGACCAGACAUAGCUUUUGUAACUCAACAACUAAGUCAAUUUCUAUCAACUCCAACCAUUACUCAUUAUGAAGCAGCUUGCAGAGUUGUCAAGUAUCUUAAAGGCACUCAUGGUCAAGGUUUAUUAUUCAGAAGAGAUUCAAUUUUACAGAUACUUGGAUUUACAGAUGCAGAUUGGGCUGGAUGUCCUGAUACUAGAAGAUCCACUUCUGGUUAUUGUUUCUUCCUUGGAUCUUCCCUCAUUUCAUGGAGAGCUAAGAAGCAGCAUACAGUUUCCAGAAGUUCAUCUGAAGCUGAAUACAGAGCACUUUCUUUUGCUAGUUGUGAAUUACAAUGGCUUCAUUAUUUGUUGAAAGAUUUGGGAGUGUCAUGCAUCAAGUCACCUGUAUUGUACUGUGAUAAUCAGAGUGCAAUACAUAUUGCUGGGAAUCCUGUGUUUCAUGAGAGAACAAAACACUUGGAGAUAGAUUGCCAUUUUGUUAGAGAAAGAUUACAGCAGGGUCUUUUCAAGUUGCUUCCUAUCAAGUCUCAAUCACAACUUGCAGAUUUCUUUACUAAGCCUUUGCCACCUAAGAACUUUCAUUCUUUCAUUUCCAAGCUCAACAUGUUGGACUUAUACCAUGCUAAGCUUGGAGGGAGGGUGUUAAAAUUGUAUCUUUGUUUGUUAUAAUUAGAUAGCUUGGAGAACAAGUUACUUUGCAACUCCAUAGAAUCUUACUAUACACUAGCUGCAUCUGAUCUUAAUUCACUAGAAAGUUUGUUAGGAUCUUAAACAGCUAUAUAUAGCUUGGCUGUAACCGUUUUCUUCUCAAUUCUAUGAAUCUAGCUUUUAUCUCAAUUUUCUCUCUUUCUUCUUUGGUAAGCUUCUGCAUUUCUUCACUUCACCAUGGAAAAUAGGGUGAAGUUUAACAGGUUACACAACGAACAUCCCUCAAAAGGGAGUUAGAGAUAAAAGCAGGAAUUAAAUUAAAAAUUCCACAAGUAACAUAUGAAGAAAACCCCGACUUGGCUACACUAUCCGCCACAAGAUUGACCUCUAUCUCAAAACAUAAGUGAUUUUGACAUAAUCAUAACCGAUACCGAAAGCAAUGCUAUAGAUAAUGAGUAUUGCUAGCAAAACUCAAAAACUCACUUCAUUAUUGGUUCAAAUUAAGGUGGGGCUCACACAUUCGAAAUGGGUUUCACUUAAAGUGUGGGAUAUACACUAGUUUCAUCCAAUAAAAGAAUGAAUGUUAAAGAGAGUAUCCCAAGCAUUACUCAUAAAACAAUUAACUCCGAACCAUACCCAUCCCUAGUAAGCAUAAUUUCAAACCAAGGUUUCAACCGACGGUAAUUAAUUUCUUUUUUUUUUUUAACAAAGAGAAGAAAAUAACGUAAUUAAUUGUUGUUUGUUGGGUCUUUUUUUUUCUUCUUUCUUCCAGGUGCUAUAAUAGUAUAGAGCAAUUAAUUGUCUUAUCUUUGUUAGCUUCAAAACUCCACAAGUAAUAAGGGUAAAUAAGUAAUUACAUAGUAACCCUAUGUUAUCUUUCAAUUUCAAACAAUCUCUUCCACUUCAGUCUUCUUCUUCUUCUCUCACGAUCACAACCACCACAGUCACAAAGCAUUCAGCUUUGUUUUCUGUCAUCAUCACCGAUUCUUCCUCUCAAUAAACAACUAGGGUUCCAUCUUUUCCUCCUCUACUUAAUCCGCUGUGAGCAUUCUGGCUUUUCCUACUCUUUCAUAUUCGCGCACAUAACAUGUUUGUGAAAUGUCCUCUGUGGAUUCUCUGUUUAGAAUAACCCUGCAAGCUCAAAUUUUAACUAUCCUUAUGUUUUUAUGUAAUUAGAUGUUGGAAUAAUAUAUCAUAGUACUACCCUUUGAUGCUCAGUUUUAGAAUCUCUUGCUGAUAACUCUUUUUUCAACCAAUUGAUUGAAAUUCAAAAAACAUUGAAUAAAAGGAACUGCAAGCAAACAUGAAAGCAAAGUCCAACAACAAGUAUUCGAAAUGUGGUGCUAUAAAAUAUCUUUUGUUUGCAAUAAACGACGACUGCAAACUCGGCAUAUACAUUGGACACAAUAAUGAGUUGGUAAGGUAUUUGGAGGAUGGUCGUGAAGAUGAUGUACCUACAUUUACACAAACAAAUAUCAUACUGUUUACCGCGUAGAUUGAGAUAUAUUGGUUAUUAUUGUAUCCAACGUAUCUGUCUCGUCAACGUUUAGUACUGGAGGUCGAGUCCUUUACUCGUUUGGUAGUUAAUUAAAUCUCUACUGUUGAAGCUUUGAUUGCACCCCAAAUUGGAUCAAAUCUCUCAAGGUCAUUGAUUUAGAACUGGUUGAAGUGGGAAAGAUCGAGUAAAGUGUGGAUUCUUUGUUUUAAUUUUCAAAUCUUUUUGAUUAUAUUAUUAAAAUCAAAUUGUUUGUGUUUAAAUUUUAAGGUAUUUGUGAGUGUUGUAUUUAUUUCUUUGUGUUGCUGUCGUCGUCGUUGUGCUUAUUUAAAUUUUUAAUCUUAUUAUGUUUGGUAGUGUUAGGAUUGGAUUCGCUACUGCCUUUUGCAUUUGCAUUUUGUUGGUGUGCUGCUACUAGAUUUGUUGCUACAUGCUGUACCUACUGCUUUUGUUGCUACUUAAGUCUUAAUUUGUAUUUUGAUGUUGUUGCUACUGUUUUUGCAUUCAAUUUACAAUUAAAUCAUGUAAAAUUUUGGAUUUGCAUUCUGUUUGUUCGAGAUUUGCAUUAUAUUUGCUGAUUGCUUGCUAUCAUUUACAACUUCUAGAUUUUUGUGGAAAUUAUGUGUUUUAUGAAGAUUGGUACUAUUAUUAAGUUGGCUGAGCCUUCAAACGAGAAUCAUGAACGAGAGCUUCUUCGUCUUCUUCUAGCAUCAUAGCAAUGGAAAUCGGAAUUGAUUAUUGGAUAACGGUGAAACGGUUCGAAGAACGGUUAUGGAAAAUUGAACGGUAAUAGAGUAAUAGAGAGAACAUGGUUAUGCAGCACUCAAGUGAGGGGGUCUCAAAGUUACCUAUGGUUAUGGAGAAUUGUACGGAUCGAACUUUUCCAUUUUUUUUUCAUUUAUUUAAUUACUAUGAUGUAUAUGUGGCUUUUUCAUGGGUGCCUCAAAGUUGCAUAAGGGAGUAAAGUUAGAGGGUUGGAAAGUGGGUUUUUUUAAUAGGGGAUCAAAAUCGCAACUAUUGCAAGUUAUUUUAUUUUAGGAACAAAUAUUUGAAAGAUGGAGUCUUGGAGCAAAAGAAAGGAGAAUUUGAGCUAAUUCGUGCCAAAAAUAUGAAGAUCUGAUACAAAAAUAUCUUGUGCAAAUAAUUUGAAGAUCUUGUGCAAAAAUAUAACAAGUGGCGGGCCCCUUUUACCCUUUUGCUGCUUUUGCUUCUUCGACAAAGCUGCCUAUUUUAGUAUUUCAGACCUAGAGCCUAUGGUUUCUUGUGCAACACUUUAGUGAUUUAAUUCUUAGGGCUCAAGUCAAUGUUAGACUAUAAAUAGAUCAGUCCCCUAGUUUGUAAAACCAUCUUUUGUUCUUGAAAUAAUAAGUGACAAUUGUUUUCAAUAAAAAGAUCAACCUUUAUUUUAUGUUCUUCUUCUUCUUCUUCUCUUCUAUGUCUACAAUGAACGUGAGUGAGUAGACUCUUCUUGUCUUGGGAUUGUUGGAUAAGUCUAAUGACGUAAUCCUAAUCAAACCAAACCAUAAACCCUAAUUUUAUAUAAAUCCACUUUCUAAUCUAAUUUCACCGUUUUGAUAAUGAAUUAACAAAUACCAAACUCAUAAAGCGAACGCGGAGGGAUAGUAUUUGUUAAUUCAUCAUCACAAAUAUCAAUUCAUAAAAGCGAACACGGAGCUUUGAUAUUGGAACAAGUGAAAUUAGACAAGGAUUGCGAAAUAUGAGAAUAGUCUAGCAAACCUUGAGAAACAUAAAGUUUUGUUCUUCAAGGAUUCUAAUAACAAUCAACCAUGAGAAUAGGCGUGGUUGCUAGAGGAACACACUCAAUGAUUUUGAGAGAAACUUUGAUACGCUUAAGAGAAACUUGUCUUUAGAAAGUAGGUCCAAUAUAAAGUUUAGGUUUAGGGUUUGUUUGUGAAGGAAUUGUCACUAUGACGAACCAAUAAUCCCAAGGCGCUAUUAUUUUAUUAUUAUUAUUUUCUUUUAAUUAAACAAAAAUACAACUUUCUACCUUCUAAACUUUCAAUCUAAUCAUUGUUAAAAGUUAAUUGAAUUCAUAACUCCCUGUCGGAACGAUACUCUUUUUAUUACUUCGAUAGAACCGUGCACUUGCGGUUUUACUCAUCACCCCUGAAGUUGAGGAACACUUGGUAUGUGAGUCCAUAGGAAAAGGAUGAGGUAGAGGAAGGUGAUUGAAUAACCAUAUAUAACAACUACGCAGAAAUGGAAAUAAGAAUAUAGUUCAAGAAUGAAGAAUAUAUUAAUUUGUAAAGAUUUGGCACACUUGUCUAAUCCGCACAUCUGAACCAAUAAAAGGUUUAGAAGGUUGUUCAGAAGUUUCAUCAGAACAAACCCAUAAAUCAUUGUGCAUAUCAAGAACAUGCAAGAACAUACAUGAUAUGAACAUAUCAUAUGCAAAAAAGGAUUUCAACUCUAUGGUAAUUAAAUGAUUAAUGGACUUUGAUGUUCUUGGUAUUUAACAUAUGUUCUUAAGUGAUUAACCAAAACAGGAACAAAGUAUAAAUCAAACCAAGAUUCAAGUGAUCAAAGAACAUUAAAGCUUAUGAACCCAAUAAUAGUUCAGAAGGUUAGUUAGAGUUUAGAAGGUUCGAAGAUAUUUCAGAAGGUUGUUCUAAAGGUUUAUCAAGAAUAAGCCCAUAAAUAAAUUAACAUUAUCAAGAACAUACAAGGCUCACAUGGCAUAAAAGAAAGUGCAUAAAAGUACUAUGACUUUAGAUCAAUCAAGGAUUAAAUGCAUUAAUUUGGAUAAAAUUUAAAAGGAAUAUUAUUCUAAGAAAAAUUAGGAAUAUUCUUCUAAGAAAAUCAUCAUAGAUGUUAUGCAUAGUGCACCUCAUUGAUGCCCUUCAUUCAAGUUCACUAUUAAUAUUUGAUAGCAUCAGAUGAAGAUCAUUAAGAUGAUCACAAAUAUUCUGAAGUUCAAAAGGUCGUUCAGCUACAUGUUUUAUCUGACAGAAAGGUACAAUAGGUGAAAAAGCAAAAAGCAAAAGCAAAAUGCAAGAUCAAUUCAGAUUCAAUUAUAAUUAGACACAUAAGGGAGCAUAUACGUUCAGUAAAAAUGAUUACACAAAUCAACUCUAAAUAUUCCUAAAAUCUUAAAGAGUGUGUAACAUUUCUCUCUUAUCUUUUCAAUGAUAAUCUUCUUCUUCUUUCAAACCUCCAAACCAUUGUAAGAGAAAAUCUCAUCUAGUUUUAAGGGUAUUAAAAUGUUAGUUGAGUAAAAGAAAAGAGUAGAGUCUUGUCUGACUUAGAAAGAAAAGUUGUAAGCCUAUUGAGGCUAGAUAAUACAGUUUUUGCAUGCUAAGGCUAGAUAAUACACUUUGUAAGCCUGCUGAGGCUAAGAUAAUACAGAAGGUAAAGUCCCUAGUGGUAGAAAGUGUAAGGUGCAUGAGUUGAGAAGGUUGUCUCAAGGAUCAUAGUGAACAUCUCACAGUUGUGAGGAGUGGAAUAACCCACAUUAGAUGAACCACUAUAAUUCUCGUGUGUUAUAUUCUUUACCAUUACUCUUUAUUUUUAACAUUAAUAUUUACAUUCACUUUACACACCAUUAUCCCUUUAUUUAUUGUUUAUUACACUCACACUUCUGCAUGUACUUCAGAACAUUCUGAACUUGACCUAGUUUUUAUUUAUUUCAAGUAUCUACUUGAGAAUCACUUACCACAAGUGCAAGUUAAAUUUAAAAAGGGUCAUAAUUAAACCCCCCUUAUUUUGAAUAUUAUUUCCACUUCAAAGAAAACAGAUUACAUAAUGCUAUUGUUGUUCUUGAGAAGAGAAUAAAACAAAUCAGAGAGAAAAGGACGAAGAGAAGAGGAAGGUGGCGUUGUUGUUGUGCCUGUGUUUUUUUUUUUAAUGAAUUUGUAGGUUUUUUUUUAAUAAAUUUUUUGGAUUUGUGAUAAACACCAUGAACUUAUAAGUUAAAGAAGAUGAAGAUGAUGCUGAACAUAUAUCCUAGACAAAAAAAAAAAUAAAAAAAAUAAAAAAAGAAAUUAUACAAUCACAAUGCCACAUAAUAAAAAAUGCUGACUCAGCGCGCCGCAUCACUUUAGUUACCUAGUUAGAUGAGGCCAUGGUCGAUUUAUGAAGAAUCUUGAUUUUACAAUGAUGAAAUCUACUUUUUUACUACAUGAGGUAAACUGGAAAUGACUUAUAUUACAGGGGAUAAAACACUCUUAACCCUAGAAUAUAACAUGGAAGAGUUAAAUUCUUCAAUUUAUAAAAAAUAAAAUGACAUUAGAAGUUUAAAAAGUCAAAAUUUAGAGUUGGUUAUAUUAAAGCAACAAAGAAACUCAAAUGCACAAAUAAUAUUAUAGUGUCAUAUUAAUGUACAAGAGAAAUCCAUAAAUUUCACUCACAAUACAUUAAUGAGCAAAGACGGAGUACCAUGAGUAUUGUAUGCAUACCCAGUACGUGUACUUUAACGUUUUACAAUUACUUAUACUUCAAAGUAUAUUCUGUUUAACUAAUAAAUUGUACACUUACUUGAUUUUCCUCGUAAACAUUACCAUUUAAAACAUGAGGGAAAUUGGAAAUGANNNNNNNNNNNNNNNNNNNNNNNNNNNNNNNNNNNNNNNNNNNNNNNNNNNNNNNNNNNNNNNNNNNNNNNNNNNNNNNNNNNNNNNNNNNNNNNNNNNNUCCCCUCCCCUCCCCUCUCAUCCGCUUCUAAAAAUUGAACCAAACACUUCAAAUUAAAAAUCUUCCCUCCCCUCCAAAACUCUCGAACCAAAUGAACCCUAAAGUGAUCGACUUAUAAUUUGAAACAGAGGAGUAAUACUUAUGGAUCGGAGUAAAGAGUGCAGUGAGUGAAUUGAUGUAAAAUUUAGUUUUUUUCAUGCUAUAAUAUCUAUAAUGACUAUCGGGGUGCUAUUGUUAUUGACAAACUAGUUUACAAUGAAAACAAAUAUUACAAUGGAAACAAAUAUUACAAUGUUUGUGUAAUACACAAAAUUAUCAACCUAUUCGUCCUUCCUCAUGAUGCCCCUAAAGUCAACCUUCAUCCAGUAGAACUACAAUUUGAAGCUUACUGUUUGAUUUUUGAGUUACUGAUUCACAUUUAAUUUCCAUGAUAUUAUUGACGAUUGGUCAAACAUAAAAUAAAACUACAUUUUAAUUGACUUGUUUUAUUUAUUUAUUUAAGUUUUCUCGUUGUUUUAUUGUUUGAAUGGUAACCACAUUUAAGAUAUCAGCAAGAAGAGGUGGUAGUGCAACGAUAUCUACUCUGUGAUUGGUCCACACGCUAUAGGAUGUUGCAAGGAAGUUUCACUUACUACUUUUGUCAUUAGUUUUCUCCUUGUUUUAAAGAAUCCACCUAACAGACCACACAAAUUACUCAUUCAUAUUCUCCAUUUUCAAAGUCUUUUUUCAUCCAUAUUCUUUCAAUUCUCAUGGCUAUGCAAUCACCUUCCCGAGUGUUCCUCAGUUUCAGGGGCAGUGACACUCGCAACAAAUUUACCGGUAAUCUCUAUAAGGCUCUUGUUGACAAGGGAAUUCGUACUUUCAUUGAUGAUAAUGAUCUUGAAAGAGGAGAUGAAAUCACACCAUCACUUGUCAAGGCCAUUGAAGAAUCUAGGAUUUUUAUUCCCAUAUUUUCUGCCAACUAUGCAUCUUCUUCAUUUUGUUUGGACGAACUUGUCCACAUCAUUCACUGCUACAAGACAAAGAGUUGCUUAGUAUUUCCCGUUUUCUAUGAUGUGGAACCUACUCACAUACGAAAUCAGAGUGGGAUUUAUGGUGAGCAUCUUACUAAGCAUGAAGAGAGGUUUCAAAAUAACGAGAAAAACAUGGAGCGAUUGCGUCAAUGGAAGAUAGCUCUUAUCCAAGCUGCUAACUUGUCCGGCUAUCAUUAUAGUCCUCAUGGGUACCCCACUUUACUUAAAACUUGUUUUUCCUUUCUAUAUUUUAUUUCAUUAAUUUUUAUGCCUAAAUAAUCUACUCUCAAAGCUUAAAUAGGAACACAUUUUCUAUUAAUGUUUUUAAAACAAGUGUAAGUUAUUUAUAUGUCAAAAAAGUUAGAAUUGCAUAAUAUAUUCUCAAUACAUGGAUGUGAUUUUGAUUUUAGUGUAUUUUCUAAUUUAUCUUAUUGGACAUGAAUAGAUAUGAAUACAAGUUUAUUGAGAAGAUAGUCGAAGACAUCUCCAACAAUAUCAAUCAUGUUUUUUUAAAUGUAGCCAAAUACCCUGUUGGAUUACAGUCCCGAAUAGAAGAAGUGAAAUUGCUUCUUGACAUGGGCUCUGAGGAUGAGGUCCGCAUGGUAGGACUUUUUGGUACUGGAGGCAUGGGUAAAUCAACACUUGCAAAAGCAGUUUAUAAUUUUGUUGCUGAUCAAUUUGAAGGUGUAUGUUUUCUUCAUAAUGUCAGAGAGAAUUCAAGUCAUAAUAACCUGAAACAUCUCCAGGAAGAUCUCCUUUUAAGAACAGUUAAAUUGAACCAUAAGUUAGGAGAUGUUAGUGAGGGAAUUUCAAUCAUUAAGGAAAGACUAUCUAGAAAGAAGAUUCUUUUGAUUCUUGAUGAUGUUGACAAACUGGAGCAGCUAGAGGCUUUGGCUGGAGGACUUGAUUGGUUCGGUCAUGGAAGCAGGGUCAUCAUUACCACUCGUGAUAAACACUUACUAGCCUGUCAUGGGAUUACAAGUACAC